UCAUCAUCAGAUUCUUCUGCGGGCUCUUCCUUCUUUUCCUCUUCCUGAGCUGCAGCAGCUGGAGCCCCAGAAGCAGCAGCAGGUGCAGCAACAGCAGCUACAGCAAAUUUACUUGGGUCCUGCGUUUAAAAUAAAAAAUCGUAAAUAAAACGAUGAGGAUAGCAAGGCUUCAGAUGAUAAAAAAAGUCAAGAACAUUAUUACCUUCAGAUACUCCUUAACCUUGUCUGCCUCGGGGAAAGAAUAAUCUGUCUCAACCGCAACUGCAAGAACAUUCUUGUAGGCAUUCACAAACAUAUGUGGUGCAGCUGCAAGUGUUGGGUAUGAGAUAGCCAACGAAAGAGAAGUAACCAUGGAGACACCGGCAGCAAAUUUCUCAAGGAGGUCAUCCUCAGUGAGAUCAAGGACCUCAGGACUAAACACAGAGCCAUUAUCAUAAACAGAUAGGACCACAAGACCAUAAGAGAAAGGCCUAAUGCCAAGCUUGGCAAGCAAAGCAGCUUCAGAAGAUCCAACCUUUUCUCCCUUCCUAAUGAGUUCAACGGGGGUAAUGAUUUCCACAGUACCUUUGUUAAUCUUGGUCGGAAUGUUAAGCACCUAAAAUAAAGAGAAUACGCAUAAACAUAAAUAUUUUAACCAAAGCUCACUUCCUGUUUAGUUUGUGAAACCUGUAUUAUUUAGAAUAAUAUUGUUUACUCAGUCUUUUUAAAUAAAAAGCUUCAAAGAUGACUUUGGUUGUUUUGCACUUUCACCACAAUUCUACAUUAUAAAAAUAGUAUAUAAAACAAUACCAACCUGGAAGAAAGAGGUCUGAGAUGGAUCGAGACCGGUGUUGCCAGGAGGAACAACGACAUCAAUUGGGGCAACCAAACCAACACGAGCAGGAGCUCCGACCUGUGCAAAUCAAAUACAGCAAAGUUUUAAUGAAAUUUCAAUUGAAGUGCAUGGUUAACACUGACACGAUUGAAAAAUAGAAAACUAAAACUAAUCAUUUGUAAAUGCAAAAGAACACAACCAAGCGUAAUGACUAAUUCCUCCAGUCAUAACCAGCAUAAUUGGAUAAAUAAAUCCAACCUUAUGUAUUUAAAUUGUAGAAAACUCAAACUUGUGGUUCGCAACAUGCAUUCGCAGAGUAAUCAAGAGCAAGAUAUAACAGUAUCAUUCACUUUAAUACUACUAUUUUAGGUCACUCAUUUUUCAGCUAAAGAGACUCAUCCAAACCCUAAACCAGCAAUAUGAUCAUCUAACUAAAAAAAAUCACUUUUAUAUAUAAAAAACAGAAAAAAAAAACACACUAUUAAAUGCUGAACAAUAAAAUAAAUUUAAUAUAAAAUACAAAAAAAAAGCAAAAAUAUGAGUUUACCUUGUAUUUCGCAACCUCCUCACUGACCUCCUUCAGGUCACCCUUGGUGAAAAUCAAUCCAACAUUGCCCUAAUUCAACGUAAAAACACGUUCUCUCAGCCAAACAAUUCAAAACAUAAACUGAAAUUGAUUGAAAGAACACAACAAGCAUAUACAAAACACAAGGGCGAAAGCUUAAACAGUUUGAGGAGAAAGGGGAACUAACGACAAGGAGAGGAAUGAGGCUGAGAUAGACAUUGUUGCCGGUCUUCUCAGCGUGCAUCCUGACGGAGCGCUUCAUCAUGGUGUUCUUCCCCAUGAGUACGACAGAGUCACCGCGGAGACCCUUGCGAAUGUUCUGGAGCUGAUUGGAUCCCACGUUGUCGGCGUUCACCACGAGGAUCUGGCCGUACUCUUCCAGAAGCUGGCACAGCUUACCAUCGUAAGCGAUCUUCUUCUCUGCCUUGGUUUGUUUCGGUGCCAUUGAUGAUGAUGAUUGUGAUGACGACGAAGAUGUCUGUGACCGGAAGUUCGGCGCGGCAAAAACGAGGGCCAAGACGGGGCUCUGGCUCAGUCAAGGCGGACAGCAAAACGGUGCCGUCGCUUUAACCUCUGCUUCGUUGAGGUGAGGUGCAGAAGAGUGGGAGAGAAAGGAACGGAAGCGAAAUAACGACAACAGAGGGGCGGGCUGAAUUUAUUAGAUUAGGGUUUUUGAGAAACCUAAAUCCCACGGUUGGGAUCAUUUCAUGCAACAAAUCCGACGGCUCAUAUAAAGGCCCAAUGGGCUUCGAGUAUUUAUUUUGCUGGGAUUUUUCUUUUUUCACCUCCGUAAUUUAUAAACGUAAUUCUCUAUUUUUAAAAGGCUUAAUACCUCUAUUGGUUCUCGUAUCUAUAUCUCAAUUUCAGUUUGGUCCUCAAGUUUUGAAUUGUCUCAAUUGGGUCAUAAUUUUUGUAAAAAUGCACACAUUUUACCCUAACUGUUAAGUUGUCUCAAACGGCGUUAAUUAAUGCUGAGAUGAAUUUUUUAUUUUAGGCUUAAUUUCUCUCAUGUUUGUGUGAAAAUCUCAGUUCGGUCCUCAAGUUUUUUCUCAAUUCCUUAUGAAAUGCAAACAUUUUACCCCAACCGAUAAGUGUAUUGAGACGGCGUUAACUUUGAUGAUGGCAAUAAUAAUGGUGUAAGCCUGAAGAGAACAUUUUACUCUUUUUACUUUUAAUAUAGAGUCUAGGAUAACACAACCCAAAGAAAAUUAUUAUCAUCUUAUUUGCUCCAAUUCCUUUUUAUAUAUUUGUGUUUUUGUAAUCAUAUUAAUUAAUAUUUUCUUUGCAAAAUACUUUUUCUAGUUAUUCAAUAUUCUAUUAUCAUGAUUUCUGAAAAUUCUUCUUUCUACUCAUAAUUCUGAAACCACCACUAAUCCCUCUUCUUACCAUCCUUACACUUUCAAUACAUUUAUUUCUCUCAAACUUACCACUUGAAAACUUCUUACUAUGGUGGCAACAUACAUUUACCACAAGUAUGGUAUUACAAAUUUUCAAAUUCUUAGAUUGUCAAGAUAGUCCAUCCAAAUACUUUAAUCUUGAUGAUGCCCUUCACAACAUAGUUAAUCUCGCUUAUUUCUAAUAUAAGCAAUAAAGUCAACUCUUAGUUACUUGGCUUCUUGUUUUUAUGGAUAUAUUUGUUUUCACUCAAAUGGUUGGCCUCACUAUUGCUUCCUAAAUCUGGAAUAAGCUACAUGGUAACAUGUAUCUCAAUCUAAAGCUAAGGUAAAAUCUUUAAAGAUUAAGCUUAGAACACCUAAAAAUUAUAGAAAUGUUUCUAUCUAUCUUCUUGAUAUCAAGAUUGUUGACACUCAGGUGGCUAUUGGAUCUUUUAUCUCCAUAAAAGACCAUGUUGAAGCAAUUUUGAUGGUCUUUCUAAAGAUUGAUAGUUUUUUCACUUUUAUUCUCAAAACAAGCUCAAUUAGUUCAUUGAUCGAGCUAAAAUUUAGUUGAACAAAAUUGAUGCUUCUAAAUUUGAUCCAAAAGAAGUGCAAAUAAAUAUUAUUUUGAUCUCUAUUUUCCUCCAUUGUGUUUAAUGUAGUCUUCAUUUUUGUUGCACGUGUUCAAUGUGGUACCUAUUUUGGUAAAUUUUGUUCAAUCUGGUCAUUUUUCAUGUGUUGUCUAAGUUGUCGAUGAAAAGUGUACAAGGUAGCAUUGUUUGAAUGAGUUAUGCGCUUUUUGCUUACAUGACCUGUCAUGCACUAUUACUUGGAAUUAAUUUAUUUACUUAAAGAUUUAUUCCAACAAAUCAUUUGCAUGGGGGGUUUAGAACUUUCACCAACAUUGUGUAGAGGUGAGUGUGGUGUGAUAGAUGUUGGACGUCGUUUGUUGAAAUUCCAAGGGACUGAUCAUCGAUUAGGUGAGUUUGACUUCUUAAUUUGUGUUCGUCAAUACAUAUUGUGGUUGGUAUUUUUGUUGUGGGGUUUAGGAUUUUUGUCGUUCAUGAGUGCAUAUUUAUGUCAUCAUUUAGCCUAUAAUAUUGGAUUCUUAAUUGAUUUUUGUAAUUAAAAAUAAUAUUUUAAUUAGGAUUUCUUAUAAUUAGGUUUAUUGAGCAUGAAAUAGAAAAACAUGAUAAAAAUAGCUUUUUAGUUGCACAAUGCUCUUUGGAUAUUUUGAGGUGCAUUAGUGUAGUUGUAUCUAAGUUGAGCUCAUGGAGGUGUGAAAAUAAAUUGGUUAAAGUUUCAUGACACCUUAAAGAUAAAUCUAAGAAUAGAAAAUAAUCAAAAUCACGAAAAGAUAAGUCAAGCAUUGAAUGAAGAAGGCAAGAAAAGCAUGAAAAAAGGUAAGGAAAUUUGGCUAAGCCAAGAAGAGGGAACAAGUAACAAAAAUUAUAUCUUGCAGUUUUCUCUAUUUUUUUCUACUAAAAAGGCUUUGAUAAUUGAUAAAUGUUUAUAAUAAAAGAUAAUUUGGGAAAAAUAUAUCUUAAGAUAUUUUAUUUGAUAUUAUUAAAUAAUUACCUUAUUUAACUAUAUCAGUAAAUAUUAAAAGAUAAUAUUUGUCAAAUUUUUUUAAUCUAACAAAUAUCUUCUUAAAUAUUUAUAGAUAUCCACAAUAAUAAAAUAUAUCUUGAAUAUAUUGGAUUAUUUGAAAGAUAAUUGGAGGAGAUUACAUUAACAAAAAGAAAAUUAUAAUAACAAAAAAGCCUAAAGCCUGAAACAAAGCUCAAUCUAAUUUUUAUCUAAAGAGACAUAGGGAAAGACAUUAGGGGAGCUUAGGAACCAUAUAGGAACCUAAUUUCGUCUUCUCUCUUCUCUCAUGUUCUUCACCCUCUCUUCUUCUAUUUCCAUGUUAUUUCUACAUCUCAUAGAGUGUUAAGCCUUUGAGGGUGAUUCUGCUGUAAUUUAUUAAAUAAAUUAUGAGGUUAGAUCAAUAAAUUUGUUUGUUUUUGUGAUUCUUUUGGUGUUUUAUUUUUAUUUGUCUUUUGCUUCUUAAUCAAGUAAAAAUGAUUAUUUUUAUAUUAUACCAAGUUAGCAUGGUGCUAAAUGUUAUAAUAUAUUAUAACAAUAUUGCAAAAGUGAAGACGUUGCUUUUUGGUACGUUGCUUUGGAACGAUUUUUAAACGUUUAUAUUUAUAUUAAUUGGCAAAUGGUAAUGAGUAGCAAUAGUCAUUGCAAUGUUUUUUUUUUCAAUUCAACGUCCAUGUUUUUAUUAAUUAGCAAACAUUAAUAUUUGUGCCAACGUUCAAUCUUUUAAAAGGUGAAUUAAUUUUCAACAUUAAUAAUUUAUGGUUUUUAAUUUUCUUUAUUUAUUUUAUUCUCUCCUAACUCUAUAAAUAAAGAGCACUUCUCCCAUUCCAAGACACACAAAAAUUCAUUCUCUCAUUCUUCUCUUCUCUGAGUUUUAUUCUCUAGCUCUUUUCUCUUUUCCAAAAUAUUCUGGGUCAUUUUUAUUCUCUCUUAAGAGAUCCUUACUAGUUCUGAGAUCCUCAGAAAUAUUUUGAGAAGUUCCUGUUGUAUCCUGGGGGACUUGCGCACACUGCAGAUAAGUCCUUAAGGACAGUGACUCUACACGCCUCAGGAAAUUUUGUUCGUGAUUCUGUCAGCUUUUUACAACAAUCUUAAGGACUUAUGGCUAACGUCAUCAACAUGCCUUCGGAGAGCCAAACCAUUGUUCCCGUAAACCAGACGGUCUUCGCAAAAUCACUUUCGGACGUUGCUGCUCCCAAAAGGUACGCGCACACACGUGAUCACAAAAAGAAAAAUGAUUUUCUUAAAUCCCGUCCCAAUGAAUCUAAACCCACCUGGCGUAGAGUAAGAAAUGACAAUCCUCCUAGGGCAUAUAUAGCCGAGGGAGAUGACAUUAUUGAUGCGGUCGUUUCUGAAGUAAAUUUGAUGACCAAUGUGAGCAAAUGGGUGGUAGACUCUGGUGCUACCAGACAUAUCUGUGCAAACAGAAUUGCCUUUACCUCUUACACUAGUGUUGUAGAGGAUUGAGAAGAACACAUUUACCUCGGUGAUUCCAGCACCACUCCUGUUUUGGGAAAAGGAAAAGUUCUUCUCAAACUCACAUCUGGAAAGACUCUAGCCUUGAGUGAUGUGCUACAUGUGCCAUCAAUCGGAGUUAAUUUAAUCUCUAUAGCACUGUUGGGAAAGGUGGGGGUUAAAGUGUCAUUUGAGUCUGACAAGAUCAUUAUGACAAAAAAUAAUGUUUUUAUGGGGAAGGGAUAUUGUGAUCAAGGUCUCUUUGUACUUAACAUUUCUGAAAUUAUGAAUGAAUCUAGUUGUUCUGCUUAUAUUGUUGACUCGUAUGAUAUAUGACAUGCUAGAUUAGGUCAUGUGAAUUCCUUGUAUGUUUUGAAAUUACAACAACUAGGAUUGAUUAAUGUGCAUGAUAAACAAAGUAGUAAGUGUGACAUAUGUGUAGAAUCUAAAUUAACAAAAAAGACGUGUUUUUCUGUAGAACGCCAAACUGAAUUGUUAGGGUUAAUUCAUACUGAUCUAGCUGAUAUGAAACAAACCAUGUCUAGAGGAGGUAAAAAUUAUUUUGUGACCUUUAUAGAUGAUUUCUCUAGAUACACCAAAGUUUACUUAAUCAAACACAAAGAUGAAGCCUUUGAUGUGUUUUAACCUAUAAAGCAGAAGAAGAAAAUCAAUUGAAUAAGAAAAUUAAGAGGAUUAGAUCAGAUAGAGGUGGUGAGUUUGUAUUGUUUAAUGACUAUUGUGUUAAAGAACCCCACCAUAUUCACCCGAGUCUAAUGGAGUAGCUGAGAGAAAAAAUAGACCCCUUAAGGAAAUGAUGAAUUAUAUGCUUGUUAGUUCUGGUGCACCUGAUAACCUUUGGGGAGAAGCCUUGCUUACUGCAUGUUUUUUACAAAAUAGGAUACCCCAUAAGAAAACCGGUAAAACUCUUUAUGAGUUGUGGAAAGGUUACCAACCUAACCUUAAAUAUCUAAGAGUAUGGGGGUGCCUAGCUAAGGUGAUGUUACUCGAUCCUAAGAAAAGGAAAAUAGGCUAUAAAACCGCUGAUUGCAUGUUCUUAGGUUAUGCUGAACAUAGUGCUGCCUAUAGGUUUCUAGUUGUUAAAAGUAACAUACUUGAGAUAAAUCCUAUAAUGGAGACGAAAAAUGCUGAGUUUUUUGAACAUGUGUUUCCCUUAAAGGUUAGUGAGAUGUCUCAACCUGUUGAUGAUAAUGAUGAUAAUAAUAAUAGUGAUACUAUAAAUGAGGUUUUGAGAAGAAGUAAAAGACAGAGAAAAGAAACUUCCUUUGGAGAUGACUUUUAUACUUAUCUUGUUGAUAAUUAUCCAACUAGCUUUGUAGAAGCUACUAGUGCUCCUGAUGCAAAACAGUGGGAUGAGGCCAUUAAGACUGAAAUUGAAUCAAUUCGGAAAAACAAUACUUGGACUUUAGUAGAUUUGCCUAAAGGAGCAAAACCCAUUGGUUGUAAAUGGAUCUUUAAGAAAAAGUAUCACCUUGAUGGAUCCAUAGAAAAAUAUAAGGCAAGUAGCAAAAGGAUUUACUCAAAAACCCAACAUAGAUUACUUUGAUACUUUUGCUCCUGUGACUAGGAUUUCCUCUAUCUGAGUGUUAUUAGCUUUAGCAGCUAUCCAUAAACUAGUGAUACAUCAAAUGGAUGUUAAAACUGCCUUUCUGAAUGGUGAUUUAGAGGAGGAAAUUUAUAUGACUCAACCUGAAGGGUGUGUUGUACCUGGUCAAUAAGAGAAAGUAUGUAAACUUUUAAAAUCUUUGUACGGGUUGAAACAAGCACCAAAAUAAUGGCAUGAAAAACUAGAUAAUGUAUUGUUAUGUGAUGGUUUUUCAUCUAAUGAUGUUGAUAAAUGCGUGUACUCUAAAUCUGAAAAUGGUGAUAGUGUCAUUAUAUGCUUGUAUGUGGAUGACAUGUUAAUAUUUGGUACAUGCAAUGAGAUUGUCGCUAGAACGAAAUUGUUUCUAGGAUCAAAAUUUGAAAUGAAAGACAUGGGUGAAGCCAAUGUGAUUUUAGGUAUUAGAAUCAUAAGGAAAGGAGAUAGUAUUUUACUUUCUCAAGAACAAUACAUUGAGAAACUUCUUAAGAAGUUUGGGUUUUAUGACUUAAAACCAGUGAGUACCCCUUAUGAUGCUAAUUCUAAUUUAAUGAAAAAUAGAGGAGAAUCGUUAUCUCAGCCUCAGUAUGCCCAAAUAAUUGGGAGCUUACUGCACUUAAUGAGUUUUUCUAGACCUGAUAUUGUUUAUGCAGUAGGUAGACUGAGUAGGUACACUCAAUGUCCAAAUCAGGAACAUUGGGAUGCACUUGCUAGGCUUAUGAGGUACUUAAGAGGUUCAAUGGAUUAUGUCAUUGAAUAUAGUGGAUUUCCCGCUGUACUAGAAGGGUACAGUGAUGCUAACUGGAUCUCUGAUUCAGACGAGACAAAAUCCACUAAUGGUUAUGUAUUCACACUUGGGGGUGGUGCGAUUACAUGGAGAUCAACCAGGCAAACUAUUAUUGCAAGAUCAACAAUGGAAUCUGAGUUUGUUGCUCUCGAGAUGGCUAGUAAUGAGGCUGAGUGGUUGAAAAACUUCUUAGCGAACAUUCCACUAGGAAUGAAACCAACCCCAUCGGUAUCAAUACAUUGUGAUUGUCAAUCGGCAAUAGCUAUAGCUAAAAACAAGAAUUACAAUGGAAAGAAUAGACAUAUACAAUUGAGACACAAUUUGGUGAAGNNNNNNNNNNNNNNNNNNNNNNNNNNNNNNNNNNNNNNNNNNNNNNNNNNNNNNNNNNNNNNNNNNNNNNNNNNNNNNNNNNNNNNNNNNNNNNNNNNNNNNNNNNNNNNNNNNNNNNNNNNNNNNNNNNNNNNNNNNNNNNNNNNNNNNNNNNNNNNNNNNNNNNNNNNNNNNNNNNNNNNNNNNNNNNNNNNNNNNNNNNNNNNNNNNNNNNNACAAGUGAUGGUAACCCAACCUUUGUGAUUGGAGAUCCCAUGAAUAAGGUUCAUAUGGGUAAAAACAAGUCACUUGUUAGUUCUGAUAGCACUAAAUUGAUUUUAAUCAAUUAUGUCCCUUCCUAUGGUGUGUGUGAAAGUGCUAAAGACUGCAUUUUUGAGAGGUUAAACUUUGUCAUUAAAAUUCUAUGUGGUGAAAAAUUUUUAUUUUAAACAAAGUUUUUAAUGAUUUUCAUAUCCCUUAUUGGUGGUGUAUGAUUUGCAGCAUGCACUUGAUGAAAUCACCUAUAUGAGUGUCGAGUGAGGUCGCUUGCAUGAGAUCGUGGCAUGAUCUCUAGAGCACUCAUGAAUAUCGGGCACACACAUGGCCUAGUAAGUGCAACACAGCGAUAACAACAAGGAUUGUGGGGGUGUAUUGUGAUUAAUAAACCUCUAAGACAGGUCAAGUGUCUUUGGUUCAUAUAGCUUGCUAUACCAACUACACUGUGUGUUAAGUUUCUUAAUCUAAGACUGGUUCAUAUAGCUUGCUAUACCAGCUCUGAUGCAUUACAUCCUAUGAGACCCAGAAUAAAAGUUUCUUUCAACUUUCUUUUGCAAUAUGUAGGGGAUUGUUAUAAUAUAUUAUAACAAUAUUGCAAAAGUGAAGACGUUGCUUUUUGGUACGUUGCUUUGGAACGGUUUUUAAACGUUUAUAUUUAUAUUAAUUGGCAAACGGUAAUGAGUAGCAACCGUCAUUGCAAUGUUUUUUUUUUCAAUUCAACGUCCAUGUUUUUAUUAAUUAGCAAACAUUAAUAUUUGUGCCAACGUUCAAUCUUUUAAAAGGUGAAUUAAUUAUCAACGUUAAUAAUUUAUGGUUUUUAAUUUUCUUUAUUUAUUUUAUUCUCUCCUAACUCUAUAAAUAAAGAGCACUUCUCCCAUUCCAAGACACACAAAAAUUCAUUCUCUCAUUCUUCUCUUUUCUGAGUUUUAUUCUCUAGCUCUUUUCUCUUUUCCAAAAUAUUCUGGGUCAUUUUUAUUCUCUCUUAUGAGAUCCUUGCUAGUUCUGUCAGCUUUUUACAACACUAAAUAUACAUAACAUAUCAAUAAUAUGAGUCAAAUGAUUUUUAAUUUUAAUUAAAAAUUUACUUUGACUAAAGUUAGAAACUUUCAUGAGAUUGAAUGAGUUUUUUCUAAUAAUUGAGAAUGUACUUUGAUGAAAGGUGAAAAUUUUAACAAGAAUUAAUCAAGAAUGUACUUUGGUUAAUUAGUUUUUUACUUGAUAUAAGAGGUAAAAUAAUAGACAUGAUAAGGUAUAGAAAUAAUAUUUAAUUGAGAAUGUACCAUUACGAUUAAUCUACAAAGUUCUUGCUUUUAAGUGAGAAUAUACUUUGGCUAAUACUGAGAAUGCCAAUAAAUUAAUUAAAAAUUUAUAUCGAUUAAUUUGAAAAUCUAAGAGAAUAAUUAAUUGAACAAUAAUCUUUAGAUAACCAAUGAUGAAUACUAUUUAGAAAAAGCAAUGAAAUCAACCUAUUUUCUUUAUCAUUGUUUUUAUCUUUAAAUUUUUUUUAUAAAUUUAUUUUUUUCUAUCUUUUGUUAUUUUGUUCUUUAAUCUUUUAUUUAUCUUUAUCUUCUUUAUUAUUUCUAUUUUACUAAUCUUUUGAUAUAGUUUUUAUAAGAACUAAUUUGUUAAGAAUCAAUUUUAUAUUCGUCGGAGACGACUUUAGGGUCACUUAACCCUGAAUAAUCUUUGGCCACUAUUUAAGCAAUAUUGAAGUUGUUAUAAAUAAGUAAUAUUAAUUCAAUCGCUUCAACGAUAGCUUUAUUAGUCGUAUUACGUUAUUUUUUGUUUGUUGUCCAUUUUGGUUUGUUGAUGUUUUUGGCAUGAUGUGGAUUGAGUAAAAUGUCAUUGCUUAUGUGAUUGGAUUCUACUUUGGUGUCCCAAAAUUUUGAAUUGUAUGUCAGUUGUCAGUUUCGAGAUUGGUCUAAUAUACCUUUAAAGCUUUUUGAAUGUGUAAGUGGUUCCCAUGAAGUUAAAAUAUAUGUUUUAAUUUUAUAGACUUGCGUGUAUUGUUGUUUUAUGAUGUCUAAUGAGAGAUUUGAAAUUCUGGUUCAUCAUAGUGGAACUUUGAAAAAAAUGUAUCAUUUAAAUAUAUUGGUGGAGAAAUGAGUUAUUGAAUGAAUGAAACAAGAAACUUUGAAAAAAAGAUUAAUCAAGGUUCUUUUAUAAAUUUUAAAUUUGUGUAACUAACCUAGGUUAAAAGAAAAGAAGAAUAGGGAAAUGAAAAUUGAAUGAAUGAAUAUCUCUAUGCAAUGUUUAAAUGAAUGUUGUAUCAAAACUAUCAAAGGCAGAAUCUUAAAUACCUAUAACAAUUUAUUUUAUACGUAUGCAUCUGGACAUUUUUGUUUUACGGCCUCUAACACAUCAUUUUAGUGCAUAUUUUUGUAAUUGCAAUGAUGUUAUAUUUCCUAUGAAAUGAAUGCUACUUGAAUGCAGUGUGCAAGAAGGGAGAGAGAUGAAUGCAGAUGGUUGGUUGGUGCAAAUUGGAAUGUAGAAUGGUCCUAUCUAUAGAAGGAUAUUCCUUCCUAGACAAUGAUAUUUUGACAACACUUUUUGACAACUUUUUUUACAACGGGACACGUGUUAUCAUUUUAUUGAUCUAUUUGAAUUUAUAUUUAAAAAAUAUUUAAAACUCACGUAUACGUUGUCAAAAAGUUGUUAAAAAAGUGUUGUUAAAAGAAGUUUUUCCUUCCCAAUAUUAAAGAAUUCACACUGUGUAGUAGGCAAAAGAUGUAGAAAAUGAAGGAAACAAUCAUGAAGUAGUUGGUGUGGAAUUAAACUUAACAAACGAAACCAAUAUUCAAUAUGAAAACUAUAUUAAACAUGCAGAAAAAUAAAUAAAUACCACAAUAAAAACCAAAAUAAUGUUUAAGCCUGAAUGAAAAAUAUUCAUUAUUAUUAUGAACCACUUUGAAAGUUUUAAUAAAAUAUUGACGUCAUAAUAACCAUGUGUGCACGCUAAAUUUUCCCAUACUUAUGGAGAUAGAUAACGUAGAAGAAAAUAAUUAUUAUUACUGUUCUUUAUAAUAAAUAAUAAAAACACCAAUAUAAGUGAUAUCCAAAUAGUAAUAAUAAUGAUAAUAAAAAGUAUUGGCAAAUAUUUUCAAAUUAGCUUUGACAUGAUGUUACAGGUAAAUAUGUAGUAACAUUUGAAAAAUUAAACCGGUUAUAGAUAAAAUCAUUUUAAUAAUAAAAGCAUAUAAAAUAAUACUGAAAUAUAAUAUCAUAAUUUUUUUAUGUUAUAAAUUAAUACGUAAAUUUACAAAUUUUUAACAUUUAAAUAUACAUCCAUUUUUGUUAAUAAUAAUCAAUUAGAAAUAUAUUCAUAUUAUAGCAAUAUAUGUAGAAAGAUUUUUUUUAUCAGAUUUACUCGAUGUAUUCUUUAAUGCAUGUAAAUCUGUUUUAGUUAUUUUCUUCUUUUAUUUCCUUCUAAACAACAGUUAAACGAUUUCAAAUUCCUUCUAUCUUAAAUUCAAAUAAAAUAAUAUAAAGAAAAAAUAUAUAAAAAUAUAAUAUAUAAUCAAUAUUAGUAAGUAAAACAAUAAAAGUUAUCAUAAAAUGUAAAUUUCAACUAAAAAAACUUACAUGAUAAAAAUGCAAACUAUGAGUGGGAAAAAAUAUACUUUUGAUUAAUUUUCAUUCUUUUAAGAAAAGAAAAAUCUUAACUUGUGAUUUAUUAAAUUUUUAUUAACAAUGUUUAUAACUAAUUUCAUCAUUUUUUUUAUUCUUUUAGGGUGAUUUUUGUGGUUUAUAUGAAUUGAUUAAUUUAUCACUCCACCUUUUUUUGUUCCUACCUGCAAAAGAGGAUAAGUGUUUUAAGAUAAAGAAAUGUUUGUUUGACUUAUAAAUUUAAUAAUAAAUGUCUUUUCCAAAUGGGUUGUGUCUAAGGGUGGUGAUCAUUUCCCACACGCUAAGCCAAACACACCCCUAUUUUUAGCAUAUACAUAUAAAUAUGAAUUUAACCAUCUUAAAUACUUAUAACUCAAACCAAGAAAUCAAAAGCUCUUAUUUUCUUCCAAUUUUCCUAUUCACAUGGCUUCUUCUCCUUCCUUAGAAAACUCAAAACAAAAGGGUAUGCAAUGCUAUUCUCUAUAUUUUAAAAUUAAAUAUUUUAUUUCUUAUAUUUGUGCUUUUAUUUACUCUUGCAAAAUUUAUAUUUAAUAACUUCUUAGCUCUUUAUUUAUUAUUUUGAAUGGUUUUAAUAAGUUGGUUCCGGUUUAAUAUAUUACAUUAAUGGUAACGUCAUAUGUAAAACAAAUAAUAAAUAUCAUCACUUUUAUAAGAAGUUAUGACAAAUUUGAUAGAAAAUAUUACAGUAACAUUUAUUUAAGAUCAAAUGAAGAAAAUUUAAAAUAGUACGACGAAAUUGAAAACUAAAAUCUUAUAACAGAAAAAAAAAGUUAUUAAACAUUUUUAUUUUAGUCGCUAUAAAACAUUUUCCUUGAUUUUCAUCCCUUUAAAAUUUAAAAUUGUUAUUUUUUACCUAAUUAUCAAAUAUUUGUUAACAAUUCAUUUAAUUCACAAAAAUAAUUACUCAUAAAUGACACUCCAAUGUUAUAUAUAUAUAUAUAUAUAUAUAUAUAUAUAUAUAUAUAUAUAUGCCAUGAAAAGAAUAUUUAUUUUGAUAAAAUAUUGAUAUAAGUUAUAUUAUGUUUUUUAAAUAGGUGGUGAGAAAGAAAUUCCACUUCACGAAAACGUUUUGCAGAAGCAUGCUGCUUUCUUUGACAAGAACGACGAUGGUGUCAUUUAUCCAUGGGAAACUUUUCAAGGUUACUUUCCUCACUAAUGAUUACUAUAAUUUUAUAUAUAUAUUUUUUAAUAUAUAUUUUAUAUAUAUUUCCUAAUACUUUAGGGGUUCAUUUGGUUUGAUUUUUUAAUUUUUUUCUCUGUUUAUCUUUUAUUUAAUUUUAAAAAAUCAUUUGAUUUAUUUUGUUAAAUUGAUAUUAAUCCAAACAUUUGUUCUCUUUUAUUUUGCUUAUCACAUCUUCAUCUUGAUAGAUAAUAGUAUUAAUAUGAAAGAGACAAAUUAACUUCUUCUUUUUUUUUUAAAUAAAAUGGAAACUGAACUGAGGAGUAAUUGUUAUUUAAGAAAAGAAAAGUAAAAGAUGGCAUUGUGUUGACAUUUCAAUUAUGAUAUCCUAUUUGAAUGAUAUAAGUUUAAUGUAAAUUUUUAUUUUAAUAAUUUAGUUUUGGAAUUCUAGUUUAGUCUUUUUUUAGUUAAAAGAUAAAAUAAAGAAUAUUUAAUUAAUAAUUUCAUCUUUAUAUUUAAAUCUAAGUUUCAUUUUGUUUUUAUAUAUUUUUAACUUAAAUAAGUCUUAAUAUUUUUUAAAUAAAAUUGAAUUAGUCUUUAUUAUUAAUUUGUUAUUAGUUUGAAUAUCCCGUAUUAAAAUCUAAGUUAUAUUUUAUCUUUAAAUUUUAGAAUAGUUUUUAAAAUUUUAAUAUGUAUCACUUUCUAUGAGAUUAAAGUAAAUUUAAUAGAAAAAAUCAAAUUAAUUUUAUUUAAAAAUUUUAAGAUUUAAUUGUCUAAAAAAUACAUAAAUAUCAAAAUGAAUAAUAAAUCUAAAUAUAAAAACCAAAUUAUAAAUUAUGCUGUAUAGAGAAUGAUAAAGUAAUUUCUUUAUUAUUGUUAUAAAUUAUUAUUUUGACACAUUAAUUAUUUGAGAAAAAUAUAAAAAGUAGAAAUUUCAUAUAAAUUUAAUAUUAUUAACAAAUUAAUUAAUUUUCAAUAAAUGUGAACUAGGUAGAUGCAUCUCAUGUUUGAUUGAAAAGAAUAUUAUUUUAUCAUUGUCAGUAUUUCAGUGUAGAAGUUUCCGAGGUUUUAGCAUUACUGCAUUUUAAAAUUUAGUUAAAUUAUUAUGGGUUGAUGUUUAUGAUUUUUAUUAUUAUUUUAUAAUUAAUAAUAAUUAUUAUAAAUAUUAUCAUAGACUAUAACACGUAGAUAAUAUUUAAAUAUUGUUAAAAAAUAUUAUUUAAAUAUUAUUAUCCUUAAAAAUUUUAUUAUGAUUAAAUCCAGGGUUACGUGAAAUUGGAAAUGGAAUAUUUUCUUCGGUUGGACUUUCUCUGUUCAUCCAUUUGGGUCUUAGUCAAACUACUCGUCCAGUACUUUUCUUUAUUCCUUAAAUUAUUUUUUUUAUUUUCUUAAAUUUUUAUUUAAGAAUAAAUCCUUAAAAAGAUUUUCUUAAUUUUCUUAGGGAAAGUUUCCAUCCUUACUUUUCCCAAUUGAGAUUAAGAACAUCCAUUUGGGAAAACAUGGCAGUGACACUGGAGUCUAUGAUACUGAAGGAAGGUGGGUAAUUAUUUUUAAAAAUAUUAUUUGACACAUUAAAAUUUUUAUAUUUAUUUGAUACUAUAUUUUUUAUAUAUAUUUUUUAAAUAAAUUAUAAAAUUUAUAUUUUUAUGACUAUUUUAUUUUUAUACAAUAUAUCGUAUAUCAAAUGAAUGUAAAACUGUUUCAUAAUAUCAUUAUACAUUAUUUUCAUACACUAUUCCACAUUUUAUAUUGUGCUUUUAAUUUUUCCACGUAUUGUCGUUAAUUUAUGACAUCUUUUAGGUUUCUUGCUUCAAAAUUUGAAGACAUUUUCACCAAACAUGCACAUAGACAACCAAAUGCCCUUACAUAAAAUGAGCUAAUGCAGAUGAUACAAGCAAAUAGAGACCCCAAAGAUAUCAAAGGAAGGUAUAAAUUUCUCUUUUAAUUUAACAUUAGGGUUAUAUAUUUUUUUAUCUCCAACAAUUACAAAAGAUUGUCUUUUAUUUCUGACUGAAAAACAUUUAACUAUUAUUAUUAUUAUUAUUAUUAUUAUUAUUAUUAUUAUUUUCUAAUAAAAGAAUAUUAACAUGUAUAUAAGAGGAUUGGUGGCUUGGUAGAAUGGAAGAUCCUUUACAAAGUUGCCAAAGACAAGAGUGGUUUACUACAAAAGGAAACAAUCCGAGGUGUUUAUGAUGGAAGCUUGUUUGAAAUGUUGAAAAAGGAACAUUCUACACACACAAAAAAGUGAUUUAUUCUUUAGUUGGUUAUAAUUUUCUUUUUCUAUUAUAUAUAGACACAAUAAUGUGUAAAAGUAAGGAUUUGUUCAUGGUGGUCAAGUUGAUUUUUAAGAAUAUAGGGUCAUAAAAUAUUUUAAUUUAUUUCGAAUUUAGUUUGUCAUUUGAUGUUAAAUGUAUAUAUGUCAUCUAUAAUAUACAUAUACAUUUGGCAUUUGUGGUGAAAAAAGCAAAGUUUUUUUGUCUUUUGGUAUAUAUGUUAAGAUUAAAUUCAUCGUUGUGACGUGUAUACAAUAAAAUAACAAGGAAUUUUUCUUAGUAUUAUUGAACUUCUAAUUAAAGUAAUUAACAUCUAUAAUCAAUUGAUUAAAAGUAAUGUUAUUAUAACAUUUUUUAUUUAUUUUAAACAACCCUUUUUAUUUAUUUUAGAUUCACGCGUAGAUUUCGAACACUUCAAUAAAUUAUAUCAAUUUCCAAAUUGUAUAAUUAUUCAAGAAUGUCUUAAAAACAAUUUUGAGGUGUCAAAAUACAUCAACCAAAAAUACUAAAGUGUGUAUGUAAAUCCUAAUUUUGGGAGUCAUUUAUUCGUAUCAAAGAUUGUUAGAAGUCCCACAUCGACUAGAGAUAAGGCCAAAUUAUAAUAUAUAAAUGAGGUGCAAACCUCACCUUAUAAGCCGGUUUUGUGGAGUUGAAUUAGGCCUAAAACUCACCUUCUAAUAUGGUAUCAGAGCCAUGAUUAGAGUCUAUCCUAGCGAUAGUUGGCAUUCCUACUAAAGCUUUGCAUCCAGCACAAUUUCAAUAUUUGUUGUCCAAGCUGAGCAUUAAAGAUAUAUAUGCCUCCCCUUGAGGGGAUAUUGGAAUUAUUUUAUUCUCUAUUCAUAUCUAUGCAUUUAUGUUCAUAUAUUUUUAUACUUAUAUUCCUCUUUUAUAUUGCUCUGAACAAUUAUGUAUAUCAAUUGUACUCUCUCUUUAUCAUGGAAAGAAAAAUACAAUAUUUCAUUCUUUCUUCUUUUCUAACAUGGUAUCAGAGCUAUGGUUAAAGCCUAUCCUAGCGAGUUCUAAGUGGGCAUUUCUCUUUCUAUUCCACCCGUUGUCGGGCCGCUAUUGGACCACCCAAUUUCUACUAUCACACACGAUAUGUCUAUGCCUCGGCGUGAAGGGGGUGUGUUGGAAGUCCCACAUCGACUAGAGAUAAGGCCAAAUUAUAAUAUAUAAAUGAGGUGCAAACCUCACCUUACAAGCCGGUUUUGUGGGGUUAAGUUAGGCCUAAAACCCACUUCUAAUAAAGAUUAAAAUGUUUCGAAAACACGAUUGAAAAUUUCGUGGAUUUAUAACUUAUUAUAACUUUACAAUAACCAAUAUCCAAUUCUGGACACAAUAUAAAGUGUCAUUACAAAAGUAUUAAACUUCUAAAUAAACAUGAGCAAACCUUUAUAAAACUCUCAUAGAAGAACCUAUCUCUCAUCAAACAUAUUCCAAAAGAAGCAUACCUAUCUAUUCCCGUAUAACAAUACAAGUUAUACGAUCAUCGCCACACACACAAAAAAUAUGGGUGAGCUAACCGUAAAAUCAUCAAAAUACCAAUGCGACAGUUGUAUCUCAAUUGUCAAAUCCUUACCACGCUCCUAUCACAUCAAAUAGCAUCAAUGCAUACUAAGACUAUAACAAGCGAUACAAUAAUAUCUCAUUCAUUCUCUUAAAAGAAUCAUGAUUAACCCAUUAUUAGCUCUACCCAACCUACCCAUUAAAGGAAAACCAUGCCAAUACCAACCAUAUCUAUAACUAUAUGUCUUCUUCCAAACUUCACAACAUCAUUCCUAUUCACCAAAAUAAGACAAUUCGAAUGGUCUUCCACCGCAGCUUCAGAUCUAUCUUCCAUGUUCAAGCUACUCACAUCAGUUCUAAACUCAACAUGAGAUGGAACCCUAUGGACGAGACAUUCAUCCCUUUCUACACCUUUGUAAGAGGAAAGAACAACACUCAAAAUCUCAGUGCCUUCUAUCACCCAUCAUGGAUGAAGAGACUCAUCUCUUUCACCGUCUCUUAAAGACGAAGAGAUCCACCUUUCUACUACCUCGGAAGAGGAAAUGUGUCAACAUUUCUACCCCCACUACAAGAAAAAAUGGUUAUUACUUACCAAAUUUAUGUACGGAUUUUUAUCCGUAUGUAACAUGGGUAUUACAUACGGAUCUUGAAAAGGGAGUUACAUACAAAUUUUACAUACAGAUAUAUCCGUAUGUACCUUUCACGCGUGAUGGCAGGAGAGUUUCUUAAGGACGAGAUCCGUAUGUAAGUGCUAUAAUCCGUAUGUAAGUGCUAUAAUCCGUAUGUAAGUAGAAGCAGGUGUUACCUACCGAUCUUACAUACAAAUCUGGAAAUUAUUUUUUUUACAAAAAAAUUGAAAUUAGAUUUCAUUAAUUCAAAGUUUUGUUUUUUUUUUUGGAAUAGUCACUCGAGCUGUGUUCUCUUAAAUAUCUCUCAAACCCUAACUCUGUACUCUCCACACUAAUUAUCUCAAAUGUCUCUGCAACCCUAACUUCAACUCUCAACUCUCCACACACUGAUUCUUUAAAAUGUCUCUGUAACCCUAACUUCAACUCUCCACUCUCCACGCAGUCAUUUUUUCAAAUCUCUCUCGAACCCUAACUUCAACUUUCCACCCUCGACGCACUAAAACACUCGAGCUGUGUUCGGGCAAAAUUUUUUCCCCUAAAUCUCCUUGUGCUUCGUUGAGGAAUCUGGUUCAACAUUAAGGUUUGCCCUCCAUGAUUCGGUGGAGAUCAUGCACUGAAACUCUUGUCUCUCAAACGCACUGAAACGUUGAAGUUUGUGUUAUUGUCCAAAGCUGUUUUCCUAAAUCUCGUUGUGCCUCGUUGGGGAAUCUCGUUCAACACCGUUCUUUCGCCUUCGUGGUUUGGUGGAGGUCUUUGUUAGGGUGACGCUAAGACCUUCAUCCGGUAAGUAAUCCUUUCUUCCUUCAUUUUUGUAGUAAUUUCUAAUGCUAGUAAUUCAUAAAAUCGAAAAAGGGUCGAACCUUAAUUUGUGUUUAAUUUUUUUAAUUGGGCCAUUUUUGGUUUGACAUACAAUAUGUAAUUGGAUUGUUACCACGGCUCGAUUGAGGCGGUUGUGUUACGGUUGAAGGGCUGAGAUAGAUAACAAUUGUUCUUGCGAAGGCUCUUAUUGAAGGAACCAGAAAAAAAGGUUUUUCUACUUUCCUCUAUUCGUUGCUUUUCUAUCACAAAAUGUUCUUAAGAAACCAAGAAUAUGAGAUUACAUAUUAUGUUAUUCAUGCAUAUUUGGACAUUGAAUCUUCUUAAAUAAAUUUGUGUUUGAAACUAUAUUGUUCAUAUACUCUCCAUAGAAAAAAAACUCCCCUUUUCUUUUAUUCCUAUUUUUCUUUUUAAAAAAAAAUAAUUCUAAGUAUGUUGUUUUUGUUGGAAAAUGCUAGUUCGUGACAUUAGCGUUUGUCAUUAACGUUUUAAGAAUGUUAUAUUUUUACUUUUUGCAAGGUUUGUCUUUGCUUUCCUUCUUUUGUUCCUUUCUCUUUGUUUUCGUUACAUUGUAAUAUAGGGCUAGAGGUGUGAAUUUAAGGUUUUAUGAUUUAAGGUUUAAGAUUUAAAGUUUAGAGGUUAGGAGUUAGGAUUAGGAUUUAGAAUUUAGAGUUUAUGGUUUAAGAUAUAUGGUUUAGGGUUUAAGGUUUUAAGUUUAUUACACUAUGUAUAGAUUGAAUUAAUAUAAAUUUGUGAUUUUCAUUUUAUUUUGAAAUUCAUAUCAUGUAUUAUGAAUUAUAUAUAGAUUUACUUUUACAUUUGUUUUCGAAUUUGAGAGAAUUAUUGUAAUGUUUUCAAUUUUUUUUUAAAUAAAUAUGUGUACAAUUUGAAAUAUAAAAAAAAUAUUCAAGUUCAUUACUAAAACUUCAUAAGAAUUAUAAAAUUAUAAUGUCAAUUCUUACAAUGUGAAAUUAUAAUGUCAAAGAAUUAUUACAAUUCAUACACGUUGUUUAAGUUAAAACUACGUAAAAAAUUAUGAAGGCUAUCAUAAUUUUGUUAUAAAUGUACGUUGCAAUUUAGAAAGCUAAAAAAUAAAUUGAUAAAUUACAUGAAAGAGCAGGUUACAUGAUACGAAUGUUUUAUGCCCAAAUUGUUUGUAUAAAUAAAAAGGUAGCAAUUCUAAAACGAAACGCAAACACCAACACUCAUACUCAGCAUGUUUAGUUUCGUCCUAAUAAAUACAAUUAAACAAUGCGAUAUCAAGUGGGAAAACCUUCUUUUAUGAUUCUAUGAUAACAAAUAAAGAAAAAAUAGGUUUGAAAUGUGUACCUAUUGUCUAUAACAUAAUAAGAAAUGACGUCUAAGUAAAUUAUUAAAUUGGGUUCAAUAAACAAAACAAUUAGCCUCAAAAUUCAUUCAUUAAAGAGGCUAAUGUGCAGCAAACAUUGGAAACGAACAAUAAUUUCCUUUUUAAGCAAUUCUACUUUUUCAAAAAACAUUAAGUUGUUUAUAUAAACAUGAUAUAAAAAUAUUAAUUUAAAUAUAAUAAAAUUAUAACAUAUUAAAUUAUAAAAUAUAUAAUUUUAUAUAUUUAUAUAAAUGAUAUUGUUUUUAAAAGUUAAUUAAAGUUUUAUAAUACACUAGUACAAAAACAACAUAUAACGUCGAAUAUUUUUUGCCUUUCAUGUCGAAUUCGAUAACGACGUUAAAUUGACGUCGAAUUUAAAAAAUUCGAUGUUAAUUUAACAUCGAAUUUUGUCAAUAUACGAUGUUAUUUAACGUCAAAUUUUGUCAAUAUACGACGUUAAAUAACGUCGAAUUUUGUCAAUAUACGACAUUAAAUAACGUCGAAUUUUGUCAAUAUACGACGUUAAUCAAUUCUUUUUUUUAAAAUAAUUAUGAUCCUCUUUUACAGCUUCACGAAACCUGAAAGCCGAAAAAACAACAAUUUUCAGUUUUUGGUAUUUUAUAAAGCAUGAACUAUGAAUAGUAAUAUAGGAUCAAUGAAAACAAUAACAAACAACAAAAAAGUUCAAUCAAAUAUCAAACAAUAAUAACAAACAAGUUCAACAAAAUAACAACAACAUCAAACAAGUUCAACAAAAAAAAUAACAAACAAGUUAUCAACAAAUAAGUUCUUCAAAAUGAAAACGAAAACGAAAACAAAAACUAACCUCGAUUCAUCGGAAUAAAGUGUUGCCACAAGUGAGAGAGAAAACAAAAUGUGUUUAUGAAGGACAAGAACACGAAAAUAAUCGGUAAAAACAAACGAAAAUCAUACCUAAAGUAGUUAAUUAACAUGCAUUUGUAUCAAAUAAAAGAAAGAUUACAUGUGAUGGUCGUCAAACUUCGUUUGAAAAAAAGUAUGAGCAGAGAAAAGGGUCCUGCAUGCUAAGAUAAAGGGAAUGAAUUUUCAAUCUUUCACUCAAUUUUUUUUUUGAAUUCACUAACCUUUUAACGUCUAACGCUGGGGCAUUCGACGUUUUAUAUUCUUUUACGUCGAAUUACAAUUCUAAAUGACGUUUAAUAAUUGUAUUUAUUUACAAAAUUGCCACUAGUCAUUUUUAACGUUGACUAUUGAGUUGUUCGACGUUAAACGCAUGACGUUAUAAGUUGUUUUUGCACUAGUGAUAAGACUAAAUCCACCUUAACCAUAAUUUUAACUCUAACUCACUUGAAAUAGGACCAUGGAAGUUGAAGCUUUUUUUUUCCUCUCCUUGAGGGAACUUUCUAAAAUGUGUUGAACAAGAAAUUCACUUUUCAAAAGUGAAAACUAUAAUGUUUAGGUCCACAUGAAAUAAAAGAUGCUUAAACUAAACUCUUGUUAAAAAUUAUGCUAAAUAGUAAAUAUUAAUUAUUUUAUAAAAUAUAAUAUCAACUUUAUUCCCUCAAACUUAUAAAAUUUAAAUAUAUCGACAUUAAAAUAACAAAAUAGUAAAAUAAUUUAACUUUAUAUCUAAAAAACUUAUGAAAAAUUUAAUAUUAAGAAAAAAAGUCAACAUCACCAUCCGUCCGUGAUGAUUAGUUCGUGAUACUAGCGUUCGUCAUUAACAUUUUCAUAAUGUUUAAGUUUUUAUUUUUUUUAAGGUUUGUCUAUACUUUCCUUUUGUUUGUUAUCCUUUGUUUUCGCUACAUCGUAAUAUAGGGUUAGAGGUGUCAAUUUAGAAAACUAAAAGAUAAAGUUAUACUACAACUGAUAAAUUACGUGAAAGUGCACGUUACAUGAUACCAAUAUUUUAAGCCCAAAUAAACUUGGAAAGUUGUUUUUAUUUAACCUCUAAGAAACUUAGCAGUUCUAAAACGAAAGGCAAAACAAAUACAUAACAAUAAUGGUAUAUGACACACUUUUACGUUUAUUUGACAUAGAAUAUAAUAAUAAAAGAAUAUAAUAAUAAAAUGGAAUAUAAUAAUAAAAGAAUAUAAUAAUAAAAUUGUUAUAAAAGUAUAAAUUUUUAUAUAUUUUAAAAAAAAAAUAAAAGAUAAAAAAAUAAUGUUAAAAAGAUAUAAAAAAUUUAGGUGUGUCAAAAAAUAUUUUUUUAAAUACAAUUAAAUAAUUUUCCACAUUAAAAUAUUUAUUUCAAUGGAUAUGAAUCAUAACAUAAUUAAUCAAGGUUUAUAAUGAAUUUAUUUCAAUGGAUAUGAAUCAUAACAUAAUUAAUCAUAAUCAGAACUUUAUUUCACAAUAUGGUCUACAUAUAUGUAUAUAUAGACUUUUCUGACAUUUAACAAGUUCAAUAGUAAGGAAAAACAACAAAAACACAAUUGGAAGAUUCGUGUUAUUGGGAACUUUAUUUUUGAUGGUAAAGUGGUGUUGUUUGAUGUGUUCGCACUAAGCAAUGCGAUAUUGAUCAAGAACUUCAGCAUUUCUCUUUCCUGUGACGAUUCUGAACUGCCUUAAAUCUUCAUACUUAAAUGGUCGAUAACGAGGAGCAUCGUUACGUUCCGCCAACUUUGGAUGAGCCUCAACAAUGCCAUCCCUUGCUGCUAACAUAAAUACACCAAACGAAUAACGAGUACAUGUUUCAUUGCAAAUUACACGAUGCCUAGCAUUCCAAAAUUUUUCAUUGCUCCAAACCUGUCAGAAAAAAAAGGUAUGUUUAUUUUCAAGAUAUUAAUGUAAUUAAUUCAAAAGAAAGAAAAUAAAAGUUAUUGUUAAUCUAUGCUAUGCUCACACGUCCAACAUCUCCAACAAUGCAGAGCAAGGACCCUGGUUUGGGAGUCACUACUUUGAAUAAACCAGAAUCAUCCAACAGCUCAAGACCACUGACAGUUUCAUCAUCUUGAAUUAGAGUGAUAAAUCCUGUAUCUGAGUGCAACAUUACUCCAAUUUCACCUAUAUUUUCUGGGCUGAAAUUGUAUUUAAUACUUCUUAAAAUGAAAGGCCAGUCCUUGAAAUCAACAUCCUCUAUACCCAAAGACUUUCCCAUCUCUUUUGCUAUAUUUGAUGCCAACUCAUGAAUUGCUUUCCCAUAUGACUUUACUAUUUUCCUGUCAUGUAAACAAAUCUAUACAUUAUUUAAAUUGAAAUAAUGCCAAAAAUACUUAAUAUAAUGAUUGGUGUACUGUAUGACCAUCCGAUCAGUCGUCGUCUGAAUGGAACGAACAAUUUUGAAUAUUUUGAGUAAGGGAUCUUAACCCUACCCGAAUUAAUCGGUUUGAUUAAUGAAAAGGUUUUGUAAAUGGGGUGAGAUAAAGAGAGAGGUUGAAGAAAGGAACCUGUAAUGGGGUGGUAAAUCGAGCUGGGAGAAGAAAUCUUCAAGUGCCUGUGGUGAUUUAUGAAAGUCAUAUAUCGCCAUGGCCUCAUAUAGAGGACUUGAUGGAUGCGGUGGAAUAUAACCACUAUCAGGAAUUAUGGAUUUGUUGCGCAUUUUUAUCUCUAAAGGAAGAUCAUGCAUGAAUUUGACCACUGAUUUCAUCUCUAUCAUCAGUGUUUCUGGAAUAGGAUGGUUGAUGACCCUUAAAAUACCAUAUUUCUCACAUGCUUCUCUUAGCUUCUUCAACUCCUCUCCCUCUGAAAGCUUCUCAAAAUCCACCUCAGGAACACUAGCCUCCAUCUCUUUCUCUUUCACCUUCUUCUUCUUGAUCCUUUGCCUUGGAUAUCACUCAGUUUUUCAGAGCGGAAGAAUUAGUUAACUCACUAAUAUAUAUACACUGACGAAUGAGUCUUGCCUCGGUAAAAUUAGUGCUAAUAAAACAGGUCAUUAAGCCGGUGUUGAUCAGUUACUGAACUAAUCUAAUCUAAUUUAUUUAUUAAUUUAUUUAUUAAUAAGUCAAAAAAAUUCGAAUCGGACUCGAUCAAUCACAAAUUAGUGGAUUAAACGGAUUGACUCACUAGUUCAAUUAAUUAUUAUUUUUUUUAAAUAAAAAAUAAUAAAAUAAAAUUAGAUGGAUUGGUGAGUCAACCCUGAUGAAUCGAGUUUAAAUAAAUCGAGUUUAAAUGAAUUGAGUUAAAAAUUAAUCUGCAUAAAAAAAUGGGUUAAAUAUGUUUUUAGUCCCUAUAUUUUGGGCGAUUUUGGUUUUAGUCCAUUUUCAAACUAUGGUACAAUUUAGUCCUUCAACUUUAGAAAACUCUGGUUUUAGUCUUUUUUACCAAUUUUUUUUAACUUUAUUUGUUGUUUCAAACACGUUUCAUUAUAGCAUUUGGAUUGUUUACACUGUUUGANNNNNNNNNNNNNNNNNNNNNNNNNNNNNNNNNNNNNNNNNNNNNNNNNNNNNNNNNNNNNNNNNNNNNNNNNNNNNNNNNNNNNGUAGUCGGAUUAACCCAUGAAUUGUAAUCCAUAUUUUUUUCAAACUUAACCUGACCCGAACCUGUGGUAGUCGGAUUAACCCAUGAAUUGUAAUCUAUUUUGAGAGCCCUACCUUGUUAAUGUUAAGAUUUUGAAAAUUUCAAGACAUAUAUGUAAAUUUAAUAAUUCAUUAUAUUUAAAUUUUGAAAAAUAUGAAUGCGAUUAUUAGAGAUAUGUAAUAGGUCGGGUAUGAUUGAAUAGUGGUAAAAAACUUUGAUUUAAUGUAAAAUUUUAAGUUAAAUAUAAACAUGAAAUAAGAAAGUUAUUUUUAGAUAACUUAAGGUCUAAAUUAUGUUAUUUUGAAAAAAAUAUAUUUUUUUCUAAUAAACAAUUCAUAAUUAAAAUUUUGAAAUGGUUAUUCGUGAAAUACAGGCAAACAUGCUAAAUUCAUAAACUGUAUAAAAUGAAUAUGAAUUUUCUAAAUUUGAAUCUAUUUAGAGUGAUAUUUAAUAUUUAUGGAUGUGAUUGGCUUCUUAUAUAUGGUGAAGGCAUCAUCAGAUGUGAGAUGAAAUUGACACAGAAUAGUCUACAUCAAUUUGGUAUUAAUUAAGUUUGUUUUACCUUACGAAGAAUUCAGGUAUGAAUUGGAAUCUUAAAUUAAAUACAAAUGGAUAAAAUAAAUAAUAUACAAAAAGAUAAUAUUUAUAUAUCUAUUAUUUUGAUAUUUUGAGUUUAAAGUAAUAUUUUCAAUUUCUAUAUAAUUAUAUUUAUAAUUUAUUCUAAUAUAAUCUUUUUAGUAUUGGACAAAGUUGUUAUUUUUAGUUGUUGGAAUUGGGAAUCAAAAACAAAAAUCUCUUCAUGAUCGAGAAUGUAGAAUCCAACUUGUUUUCCUAGUGAAAAAAAUUCAACACAUAUGAAGCACUUGUUUAAUUCAACUUUGCUUUUACUUAUUUUUGGAACAAUAAUUUAAAGUAAAAACUAUAUGAUAAAUAGUCGUGGCAAUUACAUUGAAAUAUUAAUUUUUUAAAUAAAACAUAAUAUUAUUAAGUUUUUAAUAUCAAAAUGAUAUACUUUUCUUUUUCUUUUUCCUCUAGUAUCAAAUACAAAAUAAUUAUACAAAUAUCAAAUAACAGUGUCAAAUGGAAAUUAAAUAAAUGUCAAAUAACCAUAUAAAAUAGUAAAUAUAACAAGAUAUGUAUUUUAAAAAUAAAUUACUAAAAUUAAGGACUAAAGAAAAAUUAAUAUAAAUUUGAUAUAUUACAAAAUAAAUUAAAUUAAAAAUGUUAUAAUAAUUAAAAUGGGAAUAAGUAUUAGAUGAGGGUGGGAUGAGACAAAUAUAAACAUAUACUUCUCUUCAUUGUGUUCCUACUUAAUUUAAAAAAUCAAGUAUACUGAUAUUUAAUACAAAACAAUUUCGUCAAAAUUGGAAUACGUUCGCAAAAUAUCUUUUUAAUUUGAUAUUCUAAUUACUAAGAUUGUUUAUUUUAUUUUUAUAAUGUCAUCGAAUGAUAAAUAAUAUUCUCCGGGUUUCAUAAGUGUCAAUUUUACCUUUUCAGGCAAACUUUAUAACUAUAUAUAUAUAUAUAUAUAUAUAUAUAUAUAUAUAUAUAUAUAUAUAUAUAUAUAUAUAUAUAUAUAUAUAUAUAUUUAGAUUAUUGAUUUUAUGAUAAUUAUUUUAAAACUUAUAGUGUUUAUCUGUUAUUUAAUCUGCUAUGAAAAAAAAUCAUUUAUUAGUUAUUCUGUUAUUUGUGAGAUAUCUAUUUAAAAUAUGAUAAAUUAAAAACUAGCCUUUGUUUUUUGUUUUCCGCUAAUAAUGUUCUAAUUUUUUUUCUUUCCUUUGUAAGAAGAAAAAGGCUUUGUUUUUUUUUUUUUUUUUUUAUGUUUUAUUUAAGUGACCUCUCUUUCUAACUAUUUUACCCUCUAGUUCAUUAUAUAUAUUUCAAGUGAAAUUUGGACACAUAAGCUACUAGUAUUAAAGUUUUUAAAUAAGAUCUCUACUCUAAAGUAAGGUUUCAAUGUCUUGCACUCGACGACAGAAAAUGAAAAACAUUAAAAAUGAAUGGUGACAUUUUUAUAAAUUUCAAUUUAAACUUGAAAUUUAUACUUUUUCGACGUUAUAUGUUCAUUAGACGUUAGAAUUCUCAAUUUUUGACGUCAUAUUAGAUAAAUUUCACAAAAAUCUUUGAUGCGACCAACACAUGUAAUCUGUCUUUCAUUUUACACAAAUGUACGUUGAUUAACUACUUUAGGUAGGUUGAUUUCGUGCACAGGUACUCUUUGGAACAUUGACGCAUUCUUCUUUAUUGGUUGCAACACUUUAUUCCGGUGAAUCCACCUUCAAAAAUGUUAAUCUCGUUUUCAAUUUUUAUGACCUAUAAAUUGGUUGAACUUGUUGGUAUUGUUGAUAUUAGUAUUGUUGAACUUGUUUGUUGUUCAUACACUGUAUACAUCCAAACUUAGGGUAAAACUGAUAGUAUAUUCAAAACAACUUCAAAUGAUUUGAAAUUUUGUUCAAAGCAUAAAAUAAAAUGACAAGCCCCCAUAAAAAAAUUUAUACCAAAAUUCAAAGUCUAAGUAUGUGAGAUAUUUUUGGAAAGUUUGAAAAAAACAAAAUAAAUUGACCAAAAAUAGAAAACGACAUUUUUUUUAAAUAUAGAAAAAACAAAAACUACGAUCGUUUAAAGAUCUAUCGCAAUUGAUUUUUUAAAUAACUUUUAAACUUCACACAGACUCAAAGUAAGGGCUCACGGGGUUUUCCCAUGAAAUAGAGGUUCUAAGGGGUGGUUAAAAAACAUUUCAACCAAAAAAGUAACCAAAGUUAUCAAAACCAAAAGUCACAAGUUAAUAUACACUACUAUUCACUACAACACCAUUCACUUGUGAUAACAUUUAUUUAUAGUUCAUAUAAAUUUGAAAGUGAGUUCUAGAUAUAUGAAAUGCCAAAACUAGGCUACAUUUGUCGGUUUUCUGCUUUUUCAAGUUUGGUAAAGUUGUAAAAAUGAAUCAAUGUUUAUUAAUGAAAACAAAGGAGAUGAUUGACGUUGGAAAAUAACAAAAAAAGGAUGUUAAUUAACAUCAGAAAAUGUCAAUUUUCGAUGUCAAAUAAUGUCAGACAAUGAUUAUUUUCGACGUUAAUCAGCAUUGGAAAAUAGUCAUUUCCGACUUCAAUUAAUGUUAGAAUUAAUGUCAGACAAUGACUAUUUCCAACGUUGAUUUCGUGCACAUGUACUCUUUGGAGCAUAGGCGUAUUCUUCUUUAUUGGCUGCAACACUUUAUUCUGGUGAGCCCACAUUCAAGAAUGUUAAUCUCGUUUUUGUUUUUUAUGGGCUAUAAUUUAGUUGAACUUGUUGGUAUUGUUGAUAUUAGUAUUGUUGAACUUGUUUGUUGUUUAUACACCGUAUACAUCCAAACUUAGGAUAAAAUUGAUACUAUAUUAAAAAAAACUCCAAAUGAUUUGAAAAUUUGUUCAAAGCAUAUGACAAGCCCCACAAAAAAGUUUAUACCAAAAUUCAAUGUCUAAGUAUGUGAGAUAUUUUUGGAAAGUUUGAAAAAAAACAAAAUAAAUUGAUGAAAAAUAGAAAACAAAUUUUUUCUUAAAAUCUAGAAAAAACAAAAGUUAUGAUGGUUUAAAGAUAUGUUGCAAUUGACUUUUCAAAUAAUUUUUUAAAACUUCGUAGAGACUCAAAGUAAGGGCUCAUGGGUCCCCUGAAAUAGGAGUUCUAAAGGGUGGUCAUAAAUAUUUCAAUAAAAAACAAUAACCAUAAUUAUCAAAACCAAAAGUCACAAGUUAAUAUACAUUAUUGUUCACUAUAACACCAUUCACUUGUGAUAACAUUUAUUUAUAGUUCAUACAAAAUUAUGGAUAUAUGAAAUGCCAAAACUAGGCUAUAUUUGUUGGUUUUCUGUUUUUUCAAGUUUGGUAAAGUUGUAAAAAUGAAUCAUUGUCUAUUAAUGAAAACAGAGGAGAUGAUUGACGUUGAAAAAUAACAAAAAAAAAAAAAAGAUGUUAAUUAACAUCAAAAAAUGACUAUUUUCGAUGUCAAUUAAUAUCAGACAAUAACUAUUUUGAAUGUUAAUUAGCAUUGAAAAAUAAUCAUUUCCAGCUUCAAUUAAUGUUAGAAUUAAUGUCAGGCAAUGACUAUUUCCAAUGUUAACAUUUCCGACUUCAAUUAAUGUCAGAAAAUGAUAAUUUUCGAUGUUUUUUUUUUUGUUUCCCACAUCAAUUAUCGUCUUCCUUUAUAAUGUUGAUGUUUUUCCAUAUGUUAAAGAGGUAAAAAAUAAUGUCUUUUUUAUACUAGUAGAAAACUUUGACUAAAUAACAUAGACAAAAUAAUUAUCGGAGGCUACGAUAAAUUUCUCAUAAAUUUAUAUUGCAAUUUAGAAAACUAAAAGAUAAAGUUAUACUGUAUGUUACCGAUAUUUUAAACCCAAAAAAACUUUGGAAAGUUGUUUUUAUUUAAUGUGACGUCCCAAUUAUAUAGAAAAGAAAUAUAUAAAUAAGACGUUAUCAUGCAUAAUAAUUGAAAGUAGUUAGAGAAUAAUAGAAGUGCUUACAGUCAUCCUUAAACAAUACAAGAAUCUAGAAUUGAAGUAUCAUAGACCUCUUGUAAAAACACUAGGAAUUUAAAACUUUAAAAACAUGAUAAAGUUCUUCAGAAUAACUUGAGUAUAACAAGGCCUAAAGAACUAAGUUGCAACAUCUCUGCUUCCUUCCAAGGCUGUCUCCAAAGUAACCUCCUCGCCAUCUGCUCCCAUCCAAGUAGAUGAUCAUCGCAAAAGAAAACACAUACAACAUGGCACAGACACAAACAAAUGCAAGGAUGAGCUAAUUAUAUAAAAAACAUGCAAUUAUACCAACAUGAACAUACCAGAUUCAACCCAAGUAAAGUAUAUACAAGCAAGGAAAUAUAUACAACACAGAUCCUAGCAUAUUAUCUUCUAGACUUGACUCGUCCGGACUUUAGAAUGAUAGUCGAGCUAUGACGGGUCAUGCACCCGUGGUGGCUUGUGAUACUUAGGCUCCCCCGCCCUGGGCUCCCCCACCCUACCACACUCACGAGGUUAGUCUGUUCCACGCCCUGGAGCAUGAUGGAAACCUCCAAGACUAAGACCUCCUGCUACUCCUCACCACCUGGUUUCGUCUUCUAUACGUGAGAAGAAAGACCAUUGGAGCGUCAGGAAGACCCCCAAGACCGAGCUCUUACUUUCGUUCUAAAACACUAAGAAUCUCACUUAGAGAUUCUACAUUUGAAACUACCAUAAGCAAGCAUGAAAUCAUGUUUCAGUCUUUCCCAAUUCACACACCUUUGAAUUAUAAUCAAACAACAUGUUUAAGCCUUAAAGAUCAAGUCAUAUGUACCGGAACAUGCUCCACAACCACUUCCAAUAAUCUCAAAUAAACAACAUUGUCAUGUUAUCUCAAUUACACUACAAAACUCUACAAUCUCUUGUAAAAUAAUACAUCCCCACAGGUAAAACUUAAUAUCAUACGUAACCUUUACUACUAAUUUUCUAUAAAACAAUAUUAUUUUAAUAUAACUUAUUAUUAUAUUUACUCUCUUGCAUCUCUUAUAUAUAAUAUAUUAAUAUAAUAUAUCUCAUACUUUCUUUUAUAUAUAAAUAUUAUGAUAACAAUUUAUAUCAUAGGUACUUCCCUGCAUCUUAUAUAUCCCUAUUAUAUUAAUAUAAUAUAUAUCAUGCUUUCCUAACUUAUAUUUCCAUAUUAUUUAAUAAUAUAUAUAUAUAUANNNNNNNNNNNNNNNAUAUAUAUAUAUAUAUAUAUAUAUAUAUAUAUAUAUCAUGCGUUUCAUAUUAUAUUAAUAAUAUAUGUAUAUAUGUAUCAUACUAACCUAACUUCUAACACCCCAAAUUUGUGAUAUGCACCUAUUUAAACUUAUCUAGAUGUAUUUUACCAAUUAUACAGUAAUUCUAAAGUUGUUUAGGCUUGAAUUUAACUUCAAAACACCGCAUCCUAUGACUUAUGAACUAUAAUUCAAUUCUGCCAUUUUUAAUGUGUUUUUGUUCAAUUUUAUCUGCCUAACAAGUCACAAUUGACUUGUCUAAACUGCCCAAACAUACCAAAUGCACUCAUUACCCUAAAUGCACAAAAUCACCAUCCAAAUAGCUUACAUUGCUCCCUUAAUUAUGAAACUGCCUGCUAAAUUAUUUAACACUACAAAGUGCUUACUCCCAACCUCACCUCACUACCCAAUUGGUCACUGGAGAAGGUUCAGAUGUCUGAACGCAUCAGACUCACCUUCGGCGUUAGCAUAUAUGACUAGUCACAACUGACUGGACUAGGCCAGAGCUGCUCUAUGAUCAGGGAUGUGCCAACUCAGGUUUUUAAGUCUCCUCUAUCCUACCAACAAAGAAAGUCCCUCAAAAAGUUAUAAUUGCUUUAUUUGAGUUAUAUAAACUAGUUUGUUGUGCUUUAAACCUCAAACGCCCAAUUUUUAUAUUUUACCCCCUUCUCAAAGAAAUCUGAAACAACACCCAUGCACCCUAUUAGUACCCAUAGCAAUGCUAGUUAAAGUCUCACCCACGACCUUCCCAAAACAAGUCAAUCACAUUAAAUACUCAUUCCAGACAAAUUACAUUCAUCAAUAAUAUACAUGAAUCAUUCACAACUCAUAAUUUGUGCAAUCCAGUUCAUACCACACCAAAUACUUAAAACAGUAACAAUACAUUCUCAACAGUACAUCAUAUUUUUUUUUUUUAAUUCAACAUGCAUAAAACAUUAAACAGAUUCAACCAAGAAAAUAAUUAGCUCUCCUUACACACAUGUCCAUUCCCAUAAUUUACAUGUAUAAUUACAGUAUCAUAACACAUACCCCUCAAGCACAAAAUAUGACAUUUAAGACGAACAAAAAUAUUGUUUCAAAAAUUAACCUACAUACGUAUCAAACAAACCAUUUAAAUAUAUAAUCAGCUCCCCUUACCUAGAAAGCUUAACAGUAACUUGUCAAGAACGUCCUAGGAUCGUACCCACACCGCGUUGACCUUAUAGAACCUACAAAUCACCAAAUUGGUGAUAGAACAUAGCUCUCAGAGCGCGAAUGGACAGAGAAGUGGAACUCUAGAAACGAUUUGGUAGCACCCUAGUAAACUUUGAACGGUUCAAAGUGUUGAAAUUUUAGACAGAAGUCAGAGUCUCAAGGUUAGGGCAAGGUUCUUAGAGAAAGAAAAGAAAUUUGCAAAAUGAGAAACUGUUUUCUGAAAAGAAAGACACCUCUCUAAGACUGACACUAUAAACUUAUGAGCUUGGCUGUUCCAAUCCAUAAGGUCCAAUGGCCCUAAAUUUAUUUUCUGACAUUUAACCUCUAAAAAACUAAAAAAAGUAGCAAUUCUAAAACGAAAGGCAAACAACAAGAAUCAUACUCAUGCAUGUAUAGUUUCCUCCUGAUAAAUACAAUUAAACAAUUCUCCACGUUAAAGGCACAUAAUGUUUUAUGUAAGAAACAAUACGAUAUCAAGUGGGAAAGCCUUCUUUUUAUGGUUCUAUGAUAACAAAUAAAGAAUAUGAAAAGUGUACUUAUCAUCUAUAUGACGUCUAAGUAAACUAUUAAAUUUGAUAUUCAUUUGACACACUUUAAAAUAAUUUUAAAAGAAUAAAUUUUUGUAAUUUUUUGAAAAAUAAAAAAAUAAAAAGUAAGAAAAAAUAGCGUGAAGUGAAAAUAAAAAAAUUAUGUAUUAAAAUAUAUUUUUUAUUAAAUUGGGAUCGAGAAACAAAAUGUGAAUUAAGACAUCAUUGUUCAUUCAUUCUGGAAGGCUAGUGUGGAGCAAACACUGGAAACGAACAAUAAUUUCCUUUAUACGCAAUUUCAUUCACAUUAUUCAUGUAAUUAAGAAACUCUAUAUGAUAAAAAAAUUUAAGUUCUUUAAGUAAAAAUUCCUUUUUCUUUCAGACGUAAAUGCAUUCUGUAUUUUGUGGUUAAUAAAAGCAUCAUGCCAUCAAUCUAAUCCUUAAUUAAUCAUUCAUAAAAAGUUUGUUAGAUCCCAAAUAGGUUUCAAUUCCUUGAUUCCACGUUUACUUUUCUUCUUGCAUCUUAUCAGUAUCCCUCACAAAUGUUAAGGUUCCAUUAUGAUGUUGAAUGUACUUAAAUAUAUGAUCUGCAUGUAUGGUAAACUUUGUUUUGUUCAACUUUGAAAUGAUUGCUCUCAUGUAUGCAAGGUAUAACUUUGUGUAUGAUAUCUGUUGCAAUACACACUCAACUGACAGAUAUUGAAGCAGAUCUUCAUGAUCUUUUGGAGUUACCCUCGAGUUCUAUGUCUGUUUUCUGAUUUUGAAAAGUACAUUCUGCUCUUUGGAUAAAUUCUUUUCUAAUUUAUCAAAUUUUAAUCAAUUUUAACAAAACAUUAUGUGAAAUUCCAUGUCUAAUCGCUGUUUUCCAAAUUCCAUGUCUUUUUAUAAAACAAUUUUAGCAAUACUUUCCACCACAAAAUUCAUGAUAUUUAUAUGAAAUGUGACCCAGUUGGGGUCUCUGUGGGAUAUAUAGGUAUGGGGUUUAAUGAUAAGGUAUUAAUUAAAGAUAUUAACUAUUAAAUAUAGUAGAUAUUCCAUGUCUAAUCAAGGCUCUUUGUUAGCAUAGGUAUAUGAUUUAUGUUGUUUGCAUUUAGCGGUGGGGGAGUGAGUUUGAUUGUAGUUUAGUUUUUGGAAAAGAGUUUUAAAUGUUGAGAGAUUAGUGUAGCAGUCUACUUUGUAUGCAGUCUUUCCCUAGUGUUAGGGGUCUGGGCUGCACUGCUUUAAUAUAGCUUAGGAUUUCUAUGUGUGAGAGUCUGAUCUAUAGUUUUGUGAAUAAGUCGUCACAGAGUGGAGUGUCAAGGUAGGAUUAAGUGAGAAGUUUAGAGGUUGUUUCUACAAUGUGUAAUGUUCAGUCCGUGAGAGAAUAUCAAUGCAUCACAACCCAGUGCAAUGUCUUGUGAGUAAGCCAUGAGAUGAGUAAAAGGUAGGGAGAAUUCCUAGAGCAUAGAAGUAACAAUUCACAAUCAUCCAUGGCAUCAUGCAUCAAUUAGUCAAACACACUCAUCAAAACAAAAUUAUCACUAAACAACGAUUUCAAAAUAUAAAAAAAUCAAUUGAACAUCAACCUUUCAACCUAGCAACCACAAUUCAUUCUUCAUAAUUAAAAAAAUAAAGAAAUCAUUAACUUCCCUUACUUGUUAGAAGACCAAACGACUCGAAAAACCCCUAAACAAGUCUCAUAGAUAAAUGGACAUCAAUUGCACCUACAAACAACGAAAUCAUGAUCAAGGUAUGCCAUUAGGAUCACUGAUCAGUAGAGAGUCUUAUAGAAUAUUCAAACUUAACAUGCAAAACAAAGAACGCUAGCAUGUAGGGAAAAAUGAAACUGGCCAAAGAAAGGAGCAAAAAGAUAACUUACUCUAUUGAAAAACCAAUCGGUUAGACUUGAAGAUCUCAUCGUUGUGAUCACUUGGGCGGUCUCUGUUCUUCAAACAGAUGCUCACAGGAAAAUAACUCUUAUAAAGAAGUCAGAAAACUCUAGAAAAGUGGUUUCUAAAGAGAUUUGUGUUUUAAAAUAACGAAUCUAGUUUAUAACGAAACUAUUUAUAUUAAAACCUUUGAAUAUUAAAAUAAUUUAGUCUCCACAUAUUUAAACUACUACCAUUUCUAAAAUACUAUUUUCUAAGUCUUUACUUUCUUCCCAACAAGAAAAACUUUCGUCCUAAAAAAUUUACUCCUUAGAUGGAAAGAAAAGUAUUAUCUUUAACUUUACUCUUAUCACAACCACCUAGUUUGACCGAGUUACUACUCGCAACAACUUGACUACCUCUGUGUUAAAUGCUCUAGUGAUCAAUAAUGUAGAUUGUCAUAACCCCUACUCUUAAAACAACUUCUCAACCUCCAAACCUCUGCUUUAAGGAUUCUUUUUACGCCUGAUCAACCAAUUUGCAUCUACCAAACUCAAUUCACCUUCCAUUAGUCUUCCACUACCGUUUGUAAACUCCUCCUUAAACUUUAGCUAGUCGACAUCAAUUUAACAUCUAACUGAUAUCACUUCACUUUUUCUUGCUCCCUCUUUGAAGUAUCAAACAACUGACUUGAUCAUACACAACUUCUGAUCUACUACCAAGUGUUAACACUCAUGAUCAUCCUUAAUCACAACCACACAUUUCCUUAUUGAUCUUCACCUUUGACUAACACAAUCCUCAACUAUGUUAUCCUCCUACCAAUGUAGAACUCCCAUCCGUUGCAAUGACAAAACCGAUUUGAGCACUUCAUAUUUACUUCUUUCUUCACCAUCUUGAACCAUCUACAUUUCUUGACCUACUAGCCUAUGACCACACUUAUAUUUGCAUCCUUCUCAACUUGAAAUCACUAGUUUGAUCAGUACCUAACAACUUUAUGAUACAUGUCAAAUUAGGAUAAUCUUAUUUGUGUUUUCCUCAAUAACAUUAAGACUCACUAGUUAUAGUAGUGCAACUAUACUAAUGAAAUCUCCUUAUCAAACCAACAACUAUAUACUUUUUCGAUCUUCAUACUUUUCCACUAACCCUUACUCUCUCCUUAUCAAACCAACAACUUGGAUCUUCUCCCUCCUCAAAACAUCUAUUAACACUUUCUCACUUUAGGGUUGACACCACAACUCACAACUAUAACUCAAUUCAUCUCCUUCAUCUUUGACCCAACUUCCUCUACACAACUCCAUACCUCUAGCUUUUGAUAGUCACUAAACACCCUUAAGUAAUCCCCGUCAGGAUGACAUGUCUGCUGCCUUAAAGAACUCUUUAUGACGCUUUAACCAUCAUGCCUUAAGUAAGAGAACUCUUCUCAUGUACCUCCCAUUAUCUAGAAACCUAGUUUAUGACUGUUCCACUACGUUACUCUGAUCUACAUGCUUUCUUACUCCUUUGUUUAUUCAAAAGGAUGAUCCUUUCAUGUCAACCGACAAUGAAAUGACCACCCUCGAGAAACCUCCUUCAAAACUUCUAUAAGGCUUACAAAACCUUAGAAUCCCCUUUUUAACGAUAUCUUUAUUAUUUCCUUUCCUCAACAUUGUCUCUACUCCUUGAAAACAUACAUACCAAAAGCCACUGUUGUCAUUCAAUACUUAGACAAGAACAAUUCAACCUGUCCUCUACUUCUCUUCCAAGAUCUAACAAACUUGCAGUUAUUCUCCUGAUUGCAUUGAGUACAAAUCAUUGUUCUCUCAUAGCUUAUUCACUUACUUCUUUUACGUCUCACACACUAAGGAAGAACUGACCAAUUAAAAACUAUUGACAUUGGUUCCGCUUCAGGCGCUAAUGUUAUAGUGAACUUAACCGCUACUAGGUGGUAAUUCUACUACCUGUUUUAGAACACGCAAAGAAACCCUUCCACAACUAUGAACUUGUCUUCUCUUCUUCACUUGUCCUUGUUAAAAUUUUCUAAUUCUCAUGACACUUUGCCUUCACUUUUUAGCUUAAUCCACACUUAAUGUACAACCACCGACUCACCUUCUCGAAACAAGAAACUUCUCUAGAAGACCAUAAACCAACAAAAAGAGACUAGAAUACACUCAUACCACUCUUGCGAUUAUUCUCCAACAAGCUAAAGAACCAUUUCAUAUAAACUUCAAACCUGAGCUAUUUGAUCAUCACAAGGCAUACCACACCUUCAAGAAAUCUUCACUUGGUAACAACUAAAACAACAACACUACAACUCAACUUUAAAACACUUUUCAAGAAUCAACUUCUUCAACUUUGCCUUAUCCAACAUUAAUUCUGCCUCUAAACCUUAGUAGACCAUCUGACCCCAUCACUAACUUCUUAACCUAUUCUCUUUCGAUCACUCUACUUUCUUUUGAAGACUAGGGCUCAACAACUGUUUCUCCUUGAUCAAACUCAGAAAAUCACUAGAUAUAGUUAGGCUACUACAUCUAAUGAAUUCGAUCUCAAACUCCACCUACCGCUUUAGAUCUCUGAACAUCACAACCAACCCAAGCUCUCUGAUCAUUUGUGGUAACCACUUUAACAAAUGAUAUUGUAGACACCCAUUUUUAGUUUUUACAAAACUUUUCUUCUUCAUUCCUCAUUCAUCGUGCUUUAAACUCAUUAGCAUUUCCUUCCUUACAAACUGAAUUUUCAGAUGUGCUUCUUCAUUCAAUGCUUGAAAUCUUCCACCUCAGCUCAAGGUCAAACCUUCUCCCUAUGCGAACCAUCAAUCUUCAAAUGUUCAUUCUAUUCUUGAUUCUGAUGCUGCCAAUUGUUGAGAAUAUCCAACCAUUUCCUUAUGGUACUUCAUGUUUCCUGAAAGAUUGGAUUUUCCCCAACUUAGAAAACUUUGCCACUCUCAACUCUUCCUCAAUCUCUUUUUUACCAUAUACUUCUUUUUCUAGAGACUGAUUCCUAUUCUCUUUUUAACUUUAACCUCAAACCUUCCAUCAUUUUCCUUAUUCAAGUCUUAGACAUUUUCGAUAUGCAAAUUCAUGUUGUUUUCUCAAUGUUGCUAUGCUAGGAUGCACCGAAAUCUUCCAUUUACUCCGAACUUUGAAUCCAAACUCUCUUGAAAAAAUUGUGAUAUCUGAUUCCCUAACUCUGUUCUUGAAACUCCCUCAAAUGAAAACAUUACUUUUGAACACCAUCAUCUUUGUGCAUCCUUUGAAACCCAAAAACUCUAGUCUUCUGACUCCCUAGCUCCAACACACAACAUCUUCCUAUCUUCGAGACAAAAGCUUGUGUCAAAGCCUUUAACCAAUUCUAAUAAAGGUAUACGAGUUAAGUUAUCCUUGAAUCUAUAUUCUUCUACCACUAUAGAGCACAAAACACUACCACAAAGGCAAGAACAAGACAUGAAUCACAAUGGAAAACCACACUCGAACCACCACUCUUCCAUAUUCCAAAACUUCAGAAUUAAGAAAGGAAAAUCAUCUUUGAUAUAGUCAUGAGUGUGCACCCUCAUUACUCUUAUUAAGACGUUUUUUUAUUCUCAAUACUUUUAGUUAAAUCCACAAACUCUACAAUCUAAACUUGGAAAGACAAGACAAAUUAUACCAUGUAGACUCAACUAUACACUAUAAAGACACAAUAAACCCAUAACCCUUAGUCAUUCUAAGAACGAAUUGCUCUAAUACCAUUAAUGUAACAUCCCAAAAAUUUUACACUUAACCAAAAACAUAAUAAGGUCUUUACAUUAACAAGAGAAUACUGAAACCAAAACUCAACUUAUUGAUUAUUUACCAACUUAAUAAAAUAUUUUUGAUUAACUAGAAGUCUAGACAAGUUUUGAAUGACCCUAAAAUAGACCCAAGAACUCAAUUUCUCAUAUUUAACCAUUACCUUAACUUCAAGCCUAUUAAAAACUCCUUUUUAGAUCAAAAACCAAUAUAUAGCUUAGUCUAUUCUUUGCUUCCCAAUACCACAUCAAUUUCAUACAAUUUACACUCCUAAACAGAAGCAUUCAAAAGAUCAUAUAAGUAUCAAUUCACAAUCAUUAAUAGCAUCAUGCAUCAAUUAGGCACACAUACUUAUCAAAACACAAUUAUCACUAAACAACCAUUUCAAAUUAUAACAAAAUCAAUUGAACAUCAACCUUACAACUUAGCAACCACAAUCCAUACUUCUUAAUUCAAAAAUAAAGAAAUUAUUAUUUUCCUUUAGCUACUAGAAGACCAAACUAUCCUAAAGAACUCCAAACAUCUCCCACAGAUCAAUGACACUAAUUGUGCCUACAAAUAACAAAAUCAUGAUCAGGAUAUGUCGUUAAGACCACUAAUCAACAGGAAAUCUUAUAGAAGACUUAAACUUAACAUACAAAAUAAAGAAGGUUAGCAUGUAGAGAAAAACGAAAUUGUCUAAAGAAAGUAACAAAAAGCCAACUUACUCACUCUAUUAGAGAAACCAAUCGGUUAGACUUGGAGAUCUUGCUACCGCGAUCACUCAUGCAGUCUCUAAUAUUCAAACAAAUGAACACAAUAAAAAAAAUCUUCUAAAGAAAAGUCAGAAAAAUCUAAACAAAUAAUUUCUAAAGAAAUAAUAUGUUUUUAAAUAAUAAAACUCAUUUAUAAUAAAAUUAUUUAUAUUAAAAUCUUUAAAAAUAUUCAAAUCUUACUAUUUUUAAACUAUUACCAUUCCUAAAAUACAUCUUUACAAAAUAGAUACCUCAACUUCAAUUACAACUUGAAUUUGAUGUAAAAAAGAAACUAAGACAGCCGCUUUGUCUAAAUUUUCUUUGCAAUGUAAGAACUAAAACUUUAGUGAGAAAACAAAAUCCCAAAAAGUUCCUUAAAAACUUCAAAAAUCAUAUAUCAAAUCAAAAUUGAAUACUGUCAAAUAAAAAGAUUUUGAGUUAAAAGUAUUUUUCUUUUAUCUUUAUCUUGUAAACAUAAAAGGGAAAGUCUCGUAAAGUUAUUUUAAUAAAAAAUAAGGUUAAAUAUGUUUUUAGUCCCUAUAUUUUGGGGUGAUUUUGGUUUUAGUCCCUCUUUCAAACUAUAGUACAAUUUAGUCUUUCAACCUUAGAAAACUCUGGUUUUAGUCUUUUUUACCAAAUUUUUUUAACUUUAUUUACUGUUUCAAACGCGUUUCUCAGUUAACAUUGGAGCAAAAAUGUGUCAAACAGUGUAAACAAUCCAAAUGCUAUAAUGUAACAUGGUUGAAACAGCAAAUAAAGUUUAAAAAAUUUGGUAAAAAGGACUAAAACCGGAGUUUUCUAAAGUUGAAAGACUAAAUUGUAUUAUAGUUUAAAAGAGGAACUAAAACCAAAAUCGCUCUAAAGUAUAGGGACUAAAAACAUAUUUAACCCUACAAAAUACACAACUAUCUUAAAAAUAAUAUAACACGGUGGGAGUCGUAAAUUAAGAUGUUAUAUAUUACUUUUACAAAUGACUAUAACGAUAAAUAAUAUAUAUUUCCGAAACUAAAAAAAGUAAUUGAUUUUUUACUAUUAAGAACACAUUUAGACAAAUUAUAAGAAAUUUCAAAAAAGAGAACUAAAAAAUAGAAAAUAUUUAUAAGUUAAAACAAAUUUAUGUAUAAAUUUAAAAUUUAAAAGUUAGAAAAUUCACAUAAGAACUUCCACCCAUUAACUUUUGCUGAAACAAUUUUAACUUUAAAAAAAAAAUCAUUUUUAUUAUUUUAUAAAGAAAAAAAUAAAAGGAAAAAAUUGUUAGAAAAAUGCCAGCUAAAACGUUGGUCGCCUUUCAAUUCAACGGCCUAACUGAAAUGAUAUAUAGUUUAAUAAUUAGUUGCUUGUCGUGUUAGAACGUUGGCAUCACGUGUUCUUCUAUCAAUUUCCUUUUUUGGGUAAACAAAACAGGGAAAUGCGACAACUUUCGGCCAUUCAUUCUUCCCCUACAAUAAAAUUCCGAAAUUCUUUAUUGAAUUUUUGUCUGAUCUUAUUAAUAUAAACAAUUCUGAUAUAUGAAAAUCUAUUAAAAUGAUUUAUGAUAUGUUAAAAUCAAUGAAUUUUAAAAAUAUAUUAGAGAGAUAAUAAAAAAUAAUUUAAAGAAAAUUUUAUGUCUUGAUCAUUCUGAAUAAGGAAAAUGGAACAACAAUUUCAUAUAUGGUAAGUAAUAUUAGAAAAAAGAAAAUUAAAAUCGACAAAAUUAUUAUGAAACAUGUGAUAUUAUUAUUUUAUCUAUAAAUAUUUUGUAAACUCAACUAUCUGAUAAUUUUUUUUAUCUUUUUACGAAAAAAAUACAAUAAUUUGGUGGCAUAAGCGGAAUGAGAACUUGAACACGCUUUCCUUGAAUUUGUCCUCACAACCUAACAAAGUGCAUUCAUAUCUUUCAUUAUCUCAGCACCUAAAGAUGAUAACAAAUUCAAUGCAAUUUAGUGAUAGAUGGAUGUGUUGUGUCUGUCAAAAUAAUUCCAUGUUACCUAUUUCAAAAGUUAGUAAAAACAAGUUAUUAUGCUUUUAAAACAAUUUAAGAUCACUAUUAAUUCAAAUCUAACUUUAUGUAUAUCUUAUUUUUAUAAAAUUUAUAAGGUAACAAAUUUUCUUAUUUAUAAAUUACUCUUUUCUAUUAUUCGUGCUAAUAGACUGACAGUAGUAAUUGAUCGAUUAAGAAGGUCUUUGAGCAUGGUAAUGAAUAAUAAUAACCGUCAUUGACUGACAGUUAAUAGAAAGAUGUUUAUUGACAAUGAAUCAGACCUAAAGGUAAACCUAUUUUAAUAUAAUAUAUAUAUAUAUAUAUAUAUAUAUAUAUAUAUAUAUAUAUAUAUAUAUAUAUAUAUAUAUAUAUAUAUAUAUAUAUGUUUGACAGGAAGCUCAGGUAACUAAUUCUGAGUACUUAUCUCUAUUAAACAUUAUUACGCAAAGUCACAUAAUUGAAUGUCGAAGUGUCUUUACCAGAUAUCUUUCCACACGGCUUGGAGAAGAAGAAGAAAAAGCGAACAACAUAACUUGAAUAACGGACGACCACCAGGAAGCCCAUUCAACCUCUAAAACAACUUUGAGUAAGAAUCUCAACAUCUUAUCCCAAACAAUUUUAUUUUUAAAUUGUGUUAGAUUCUUAAUAUAAUUUUAUAUGUAGAGAUAUGAAUAUCUUGUAUAUAAUAUUAGAUAUUUGUACAUAAUUUUAUAAUAGGUGAUACAAUUAAUUUAACCAAUUUCGUUAAAAUAUAUUAUGAUAUUAUAUUAAAAAAGUAAGUUUGAGUCUAUUUAUUUUCACAAACAUAGUGGAAUAAGUAUUGUUUACUUUUAUAUGCUAUAAAUUGAGUUAAUAUUGAUAUAAAAUAUCCAACAUUUAAUACUUAAAUUAAUUCAAAUAUUGAGUUUUACUUUUCAAUAUAAAAGUAGAGUUAAAAAGUGUUUUCAUAUUUUUCAAAUGAAAUUAGCACAUUUAACUAUUUAUAGUCUAAUUUUUUUUAUCAGCAUUUAUAGUUUAAAGUAAUAAGUGGUUAUGAUCAAUUUUCAAACCAAGUGUUUUCUUUUAAAUAUAGUAUUUGAUCUCUUUCUUAAAAAGAAAUAUUUUUUAUAUUUGUUUUGUUUCCAAUUUUAUCGAGGGAUAUUAUUAGUUUUGAUCAUUAUAUAUCCGAUGUAUUGUUUAUUUUAGAAUUUGUUUGACAGAAUUUUGUGUAUCUCGAUAUAUGAGAAGAGAAAGAAAUAUUGAAACUAUCUUAGAUUUUGAAUCCUAAACGAUGUGAGAGUAUUGAAUAUAGUAGGAACAUAAAAAUCCAAGUCAAGGUUUAAGGAAAACAAAUGAAUGUUCCCAAUAGAAGGUUUAAGGAAUCGACUCUCAAGUCUGUAAAAUGAUUGAAUCUUUAUAUAUAAAAUGCAAGGAGUAUUAGAAAGUGGGUUUUUAGGCGUAACUCAACCUCACAAAACCGGCUUGUAAGGUGAAGUUUGUACCUUUGUAGGCUUAAAACCAACUUUCUAAUAUGGUAUCAGAGCCAUGGUUAAAGCCUAUCUUAGGGAGUUCUAAGUGGGUAUUUCUCUUUCUAUUCCACCUGUUGUCGGGACAGUAUUGAACCACCUAAUUUCUUUCUAAUAGGGAGGUUUAACACAUACAUAAAUUUCCACACUUAUCUGUUUUGGGUCAAGUCCUCACGGAUUUGUUUUUGGUACCACUCCAAAAGUUCUCUUACCAAUAGAGAUAUCUUAUAUGUAUAUAAACCCAUGUCCAUAUCUUAUUUUAUCCUAUGUGAAACUUUGUUUAUAUCUAACAUAAAAUAGUAAAUAUGAGUUUAAGUGUAUCUUUCAUUAUUACACGUGUAUUUACAAGAUUUUGGAGUAGUGUAUAAUUUAUGUGAUUCAAAUAAAAAAUAUUUUUUAUGUUUUCAUAUAUAUACCUUUGCACUAUUUUUCAGGUUUUUUUUUUUCAUUAUAUUACUCCAUAUUAUAAAUAAGUUAUUCUUAUCAACUUUUUUUAAUUAGCACUUCAAAUGAUAAAUCUUUCUCACAUAUAAUCAAUUCUGUAUGUAAUAUUAUCUCUAAUUUUUAUCUUUUAUAUAUACUUGUUUUGUUUUCUUAUUUAUUCGAUAAUUUUUUUUUAGAAAAUAUGUUUUAUCUAAUGUUGAUUAUGUUUUUUUUUUUAAUUUGUUUAUUGUCGUUUCUUUGUCAUUUCGAUUUCAAAGUAAAAGUAAAAAAGAAGAAAGAAAAAGUAAGAUAAUAAAAAAAGUGAUAUAAAAGGUUAACAACCGAGGACAACAAGAAUUCUGAAGAGAGGAAGAAAAAGUACUCAUAGGCACGUGGAGGAUCCUUCGCCCAUAACUCUCGUAAUUUAUUUGUUUAUAUAUAUAUAUAUAUAUAUAUAUAUAUAUAAUAUUGAAAUUUAAACAAUUUUUAUUCUUUAUAAUAUUUUUGCAAAUAUAAUUAUAUUAUUUUAUUUUAACAAAAAAUCCUUUUAUUUUAUGAUUUUGAUUUAUUUAUUUAGUUUAAUGAUAGUUUUCUUUAAAAAUCCAUUUUAAAAGACUAUGAAUAAUAUAUUUAAUUUUUGUAACAUCCAAUUUUAAUAAUAUAAAAUUACUAAAAUAAAUGUUAGAUAGAUGCUAAAAGAACAAUUACAUAAAACAAACCUACCACAAAGAAAAGAUCUACUUCUAUAAAUCCAUUUAACUAUACCUUUCUUUCACCCUCACUUCUCACUAGAGUAACUAUAAAGACCUUUUUUCUCAAACAAAUCGUAUAAUAUUUAGAACAUAGCAAACAUGAAUCACAUAUAACAUACAUCAACUCAAACGUUUUAUCAUUCAAGGACCUAGACUGAGUAACCAAAUUUAAAAUGAAUAACGAGUUAUGGCGGGUCGUACACUUGUGGUGGUCUUUACUACUUUGCAAAAUCAUUGCUAAUGAGUUUCACCCUACCACAUUCACAAGGUUAGUUUAUAAUGCGCCUUAGACCUUACUAGAAGCGCCUAAGACUAAGACUUCCUACUACUUUCACCAGAUGUGUUAAACCUCUAUACUUGAGAAGGAAUUAUCAUUAGAGUGUCAAGAUAACCCGCAAGACUAAGCUUCCUGCAUUCAUACUAAUUAUACUUGAAACUACCGAUAAGAAGUUCCUCCUUGCAUUAGUGCAUAAUGAGGAUUUUAAUGUGCACAAUAUGCUUUGGUUUCUAGAAAACAGAAGUAUAACAAAAUGCGGUGGUAUUUUUGUAGUUUCAACAAACUUAUAGACCUCGAUUCAAGAGAAACCAAGGCAUAAAAGCCUCUAUUACCUCAGUUAUGAAGCAACUGAGGCGUAAAACCCUGCAAAAAUUUACUUGCUUCUCCUACAAAACAAACUUUUCUUCUUACACCUUUUCGAGGAGGAAAUACUACCUCGUUUAGUCAGAAAACUGAGACAUAAAGCCCUUUAGAAUCCCUUUGCAACCUUGCAAAUUCGCUGACAUUUCAAAUCGAGAAGGACAUACUGGAAUUGAGAAAUAAAGCCUUUUAAAAUCCCUUUGCAACUCUGUGAAUUCACUGACAUAACAGGUUGAGAAGGACAUACUGCCUUAUACCAAGGCAUAAAGUUAUGACCAAAAUAGAUAUUAAGCCUUUUUUUAUUUAAGUUUUAAAUUUUCGAUUUUUCUCUAAAUUUUUAAAAUAAACUAAAUUUUUAAAACAUUUUCUUUUUUAAUUGGCCCUCCAGUCAAUAUCUUGUUGCGAUAAUUAUUAAAAAGAUUUAAACAAAUACUUAUUUUACCGACAACUAUCUGUUGUAAAAAGCUGACAAGACAGUAUUUCCCGAGGCAUGUAGAGUCACUGUCCUUAAGGACUUAUCUAUGGUGUAUUGCGCAAGUCUCCCAAGAUACAACAGAACUUCCCAGAAUAUCUCUGAGGAUCUCAAAACUAGCAAUGAUCUCUAAAAGAGUAUAAAAAACAAACUCAUAAUAUUUUUAGAAGGAAAGAAGAGAGAAUGAGAAAAUGAUAGAAUGAGAGAAAAUGGUUUUGAUGUAUUUUGGAAAGGAAAAAGUUGUUCUAUUUAUAGAACAUGUAAAGCACAAAGUAAUAAAGCAAAAUGAACGUUGCAACCAUUAAAGAAAUUGAACAUUGAAAGAAAAUUAACAUUGUCACCCAACGUUCCAAAAUUCAAGCUCACAAUUAAUGUUUUUAAUGACAAAGUUUAACCUCUCAAUAAUGCAGUCUCAAACUUUCACACAUACCAUAGGAAGGGACAUAAUUGAUUAGAAUCAAUUUAGUGCUAUUAGAACUAAUAAGUGACUUGUUUUUACCCAAAUGAACCUUACUCAUGGGAUCUCUAAUCAUAAAGGUUGGGUUACCAUCACUUGUUUGUUUACAAGUGGCAUAAGUCUCAUUCCCCUCUAUGUUUCUAAUAUCAUUUUUCUUCUCAAGGGUUUUUGAGUAAAGCCUUUUAAUACUAAUCUUGCCUUAUAUUUCUUUAUGGAUCCAUCAAGGUGAUAUUUCUUCUUAAAGAUCCACUUACAACUAAUGGGUUUUGCUUCUUUAGGCAAAUCUACUAAAGUCCAAGUAUUAUUUUUCUGAAUUGAUUCAAUUUCAGUCCUAAUGGCCUUAUCCACUGUUUUGGAUCAUGAGCACUAGUAGCUUCUACAAAUCUUGUUGGAUUAUUAUCAACAAGAUAAGUAUAAAAGUCAUCUUCAAAGGAAGUUUCCUUUCUCUAUUUUUUACUUCAUCUCAAAUCCUCAUUCAUGGUAUCAUUAUUAUUAUUAUCAUCAACAAGUUGAGACCUUUCACUAACCUUUAAGUGAAACACAUGUUCAAAAAACUCAUCAUUUUUUUGUCUGCAUUAUAGAAUUUCUAUCAAGUAUGUUACUUUUAACAACUAGAAACCUAUAGGCAACACUAUGUUCAGCAUAACCUAAGAACAUACAAUCAAAGGUUUUAGAGCCUAUUUUUCUUUUCUUUUCUUAGGAUCAGGUAACAUCACCUUAGCUAAACACCCCCACACUCUUAGAUAUUUAAGGUUAGGUUGGUAACCUUUCCAUGACUCAUAAGGAGUUUUACCGGUUUUCUUAUGAGGUAUUUUAUUUUGUAAAAAACAUGCAAUAAGCAAGGCUUCUCCCCAAAGGUUAUCAGGUGCACUAGAACUAACAAGCAUAACAUUCAUCAUUUCCUUAAAGGUUCUAUUUUUUCUCCCAACUACUCCAUUAGACUCGGGUGAAUAUGGUGGGGUCACUUCAUAGAUAAUCCCUUUAACACAAUAGUCAUUAAACAAAACUUACUCACCACCCCUAUCUGAUCUUUUAAUUUUCUUAUUCAACUUAUUUACUACUUCUACUUUAUAGGUUAAAAACACAUCAAAGGCUUCAUCUUUAUGUCUGGUCAAGUAAACUUUGGUGUAUCUAGAAAAAUCAUCUAUAAAAGUCACAGAAUAAUUUUUACCUCCUCUAAACAUGGUUUGUUUUAAAUCAGCUAGAUCAGUAUGAAUUAACCCUAACAGUUCAGAUUGGCGUUCUACAAAAAAAACAUGUUUUCUUUGCCAUUUUAGAUUACACAUAUAUCAUACUUAUUACUCUGUUUAUUAUGCAUAUUAAUUAAUCCUAGUCGUUGUAAUUUCAAAACAUAUCAUGUCCUAAUCUAGCAUGUCAUAUAUCAUACGGGUCAACAAUAUAUGCAGAAGAGCUUGAUUCAUUAAUAUUUUCAGAAACAUUUAGAAAAAAGAGUCCUUAAUCUAGCACAUCACUCAAGGCCAGAGUCUUUCCAUAUGUAAGUUUGAGAAGAACUUUUCUUUUUCCGAACAGGAGUGAUGUUGGAAUCAUCGAGGUAGACGUGUUUUUCUCCAUCCCUUACACUAGUGUAAGAGGUAAAGACAUUUCUGUUUGCACGAAUAUGCACCAGAGUCUAUGUCAGGUGUGCAAAAUAUUUCUAUGCCAGUGGGUUUAGAUUCACUAAGACAAAGACUAUCUCGACUUCAGAAAAAGCUUAGUAUUUUUUGAAACGUGUAUAACUAGCUAGGAUUUCUAAAAAAAAAUAAAAAACAAAUCCAAAAUAUUUUUAAAAAGAAAAAAUGAGAAUAAGAAAAAAUAAUUUUGAUGCAUUUUAGAAAAGAAAAAGUUGUUAUAUUUAUAGAACAUAUAAAACACCAAAUAAUAAAACAAAACAAACGUUGCAACAUUAAAGAAUUUGAACGUUAAAAGAAAAUUAACUUUACCACCCAACGUUCCAAAAUUCAAGCUCACAAUUAAUUUUUUUAAACCACACAUUAACUUUUCCAAUAAUAUAAUAUUAAUAUAUUAUAACACUUUAAUUAAAGUGUUCUACUUCUGCGUAACCGACUGAGAGAAUAGAUGAGAAUAAUGAUCUUUCGAAUCUCGAUAUCUCUGCAACACAAUGCAAACUAAACUUCAUUUCCGCAUCAACAUGUCAUAGCAGAUCAUCACAGCUGUUGCGUUACGAAGACGAAGAAGCAACAGAUAUCGGAAUCAGAUCAUCAAAGACGGCUAAGAUCUCACACGUGUCCAAUUCCCAGAGCCAUGAUUGCUUCAUCAUAUGCAACCUCUCACCUAUAUAUACAUACAUCUCAUCUCAUCUCUUAACCAUUAUUAUACCUAUCUUCUUUACUUUCUUAUUCCCAAAAAAACCUUUAUUUUUCUUCUCAAUUUGUGUCACAUGGCUUCUUCACCACCCUCACUCAACCAGAAACAAGAGGGUAUGCAUGUUUCAUUUUUCUUAGUUUGGAUCAGAAAAUUUCUGUUAAAAGUUUUGUUUUUUCUUCAACCAUUGAACAUGUUUGCAGAAGAAGCAGGUAUGCUUGGAGAGAAAUCCAUUUCACUUGAGGAGAACGUUCUGCAGAAGCAUGCUGCAUUCUUUGACAUAAACAAAGAUGGUGUCAUAUAUCCAUGGGAAACUUUUCAAGGUUUUCACUGCUUUUCCUUUCCCCUUCAAUUCUCAACUUUUUUCCUUCUUACAAAUGAUCAUUUUGGAGAAAACAAGGUUAGGGUUUUUAGGGAACAAUCUUGUCCAAAACUUGUUUUUUUCAGUAUGCCACAGUUCUGCAAGAAAAGAUCAUGAUGUAAAAGAAAUGCUGAAAUGAAAACUAGAAUUAGAAAGGGAAGAAAAAUUAGAAACAGUUUUUUAUCAUAGAAUUUGUCAAAAUUUGAUAGUUUUGAAUAAGUGCAGGAAUGCGUGAAAUUGGGAGUGGGAUUUUAUUGUCCAUUGGAGGUGCUAUUUUCAUCAAUGUGUUUCUCAGUCAGACUACUCGUCCGGUAACUCUCUCUUUCCCUUUUUGAAAACUCUUAUGUUUUCUUCAAGUAUUUCUCUAUUUUAAUCUCUACUUACCAUGUUUCUCUUUAAAUUUAUGAUUUUUAUCAUUAUCUUUUUUUUAAAAAAAAAUGAAAAUAGUUGGUUGUUUAGAUUUGAAUUUCAAAGUAUGAUAAUUUCACCAAACACAAGAACAUAAAAUGUUGUAUUAAUCUACUCUUUCUUGUAUUAAAACUUUUUUAAGUCAUCAUCUUUUUAAUGUGAAAGAUAUUAAUGGGUUUUACCCUUUUGUUUUAUAAUUACUUUUUUUAUGAUUUAAAAUGAAAUUGAUUAAAAGGGGUUAUUUUUCAUAAAUUUAAACCCUUGAGAAUCAGUAGAAAAGGGUGUAUUAACAAUUUUAGCCUGAAACAAGAAAAAAACAGUGACGGAGUGAUGAAAUUACAAACCAUUGCCCUUAAAAUAUCUCUUAUCCCUUUAUGGGAGUAGAGAAGGUAUCUGAUCUCUGGGCCAUACUUUAAGAAAAUUCUUAUCUCCAAAAUAAUUUUGUGGAAAAUAAAUAAUAAUUUAUUCUUAGUUCAUUACUGAGAACUCUUUCUUUAGCCAUACGUUUUAAUAAUUACAAUUUAUUUUUUGAAAAAUGAAUCAUUAAGGAUUACAUUAAAUUAGAGUAAUUACCUGUUGUCUUUUUGUAGUCAUACACUUUAAUGACCAUUUAUUUAUAGUGUAGUAUAUUUAAUAAUUUUGUCUUUAUUUUAUAGUAAAGUUAAUUAACCAUUUUAUUACUAUAUUUAUUUAUUACAUAAAAAUAUAGAUAUAGUAUUGUUGUGCUUGUAUUUCCGUAUAAUGAUAAUGUUAAUUUCCAAUUAAAUAUAAAUAAAAUGCAAUACUAAUAUUUUACUAUAAGCAGUUUGAGUAAAUAAAACAAUAUUAACUUAUCCAUUUAAUAAUAAUUUCGUUAUCUAUAUAUUUAGAAAAAAAAACAUUUAAUUGAUUCAAUAACUUUUUUAAUAUUUUUAAUUCUACUAUAAUUAAGUAAAAUAAAUUGGUGAAAAAAUGUCUGUUUUCUAUAACUUAUUAACUUCUCAUGAUGUAGGGAAAGUUUCCAUCAUUACUUUUCCCAAUUGAAGUUGAAAAUAUCCAACGAGGCAAGCAUGGUAGUGACAGUGGAGUCUAUGAUACUCAAGGAAGGUAUAAUUUUUCAAAAUUAUAUCUUUUGGUAACAAUUUUAGUCAUAAAAUUAUAAAACAUUGUUAAUCUUCAAGAUCAUUGAUAAAUCUCUAUUUUUUAUGCACUUUAUGGUGUGUUUAGGUUUGUUCCUCCAAAAUUUGAAGCAAUUUUCAGCAAGCAUGCACAUACAAAUCCAAAUUAUUUGACAUAUGAUGAGUUGAAGGAAAUGAUUAAGGCAAAUAGAGAGCCUAAGGAUUUAAAAGGAAGGUAAGUUUGUCAUAUAUGAUUUAUUAUAGUAUUAUAUUUAUCAUCUCAUUACAAAUAAAUAAUAUUAUUAAAUGUAAAAGUUAUAAAUUGAUCAUGCAUACUUAAAAUUAUUUUCACAUUCAAUUCAUGGUCUUUUAUCUAUAUCCAUAUUAGAAGUAUAAGGUUAGAAAAAUAUGUUUAUGAUGUUUGAUUUAUCUUUUUAAAGUAAUAUUUUCGAUCAAUAAUGUGAUCAUGCAUGGUUUUUAGCCAUGUUUUCUUCUUCUUUUUUUUCCUAAAAAAAUAUCAUUGAACAUUUUAUAAUAUAACUCCUCAAAUUUAAAUAAAAUUUUGUUAAAAAAAUUACCAUAUCAUAGCAUAUUACUCUUGAUUUUUUUUUUAUAAAUACUUUUAAUCAACCGAACUCAAUUUAGUAAUUCCUAAUAACCAUAUACUUUCUCAUAUUUAUGAGCUUUAGCAAUCUUUAUUUCUGGGUAUGAUGAGGAAAUCUCUCUUAGUAUAAAAUUUAUCGUAAAAGUUGAGAAUUUAAAUAUAGUUUGUGACAAAAUCUCUAGCUAUUCUAUGAAAUUAGUCAUAGUUUUUCAUUGCUUUGCCAUAAAUUGGAGUAAUUGUUGACAUAUUGCAAUGCACAGAAUUGGUAGUUUUGUGGAAUGGAGCAUACUUUACAAACUUGCUAAAGAUAAGAAUGGUUUGCUGCAAAAAGAUACAAUCAGAGGUGUUUACGAUGGAAGCCUGUUUGAACAGCUGAAAAACCAACACUCUUCAGCCAAAAAGAAGUAAAAAAUCUCAGACAGUUUAACUUCUAUGAUGGAAGCUUGUUUGAACAUUCAAAGUGUAUGCUUAUUUUUAUGUCCAUCGUUGUUGUAUUUGCCAAGUCAAAGCUCUGUGUCAUCAUUUGGAAUUUACCUAAAAAGUUUGUACAAACAGAAACAAGAAGACAUCAUAUCAAGGAAAAAGUUUUUUUUAACAAUUUUUAUUUUACAAUUUUUUGAUAACGACAUGACAGUUUGAAAGUGGUUGGUUUUAAAUAUUUUUUCUGUUUCUAUUGUCAAAAUUGUUAAAAUAUCAGGAUUCUUGUAUUAAAUUAUUGUUCAUACAUAUUUCCAAAUUUAGAUUAAACAUUUGUAUGAUGAUGAAAUUGGUACAAAUUUGUAUACUACUUUGUUUAUUUUUUUAUUUUUAUAUGUUUUGAAAAUUUUGACACAUCAAAUUCAGUUUUAAGAUAAUCAAGACCAUCACUGGUAUAAAAUCAACCUUUUGAGUAUGUCAAAUUAAGUUUGUUUUCAAAUUAAGAGACCUAAUAAAUGUCACUAAAUACAAGUUCAUGUUUUAAGUCUGUUAAUUUCAUAACAUAUUUAACAUACUUAAAUUUUGAUUUUAAAUUUACUGGAAGUAAAUCAGAUUUAAAUUUUGUAUCUGUUGAAUUUCUUAAUCGACUUAAAUUAAUAUUUUAAAUCUUUUUUAAUAUAAUAAUACUUUAAUUUUGUGAUAGUAUAUAUGGUUUUGGUUUUCUUCCUCAGUUAUGAGAAAGGUUUGGAAAUAUCGAAGGCUGAGCUUCAAUUUUUUUUUAGGUGUAGAAAAUGUUGUCUGUAGGGUUGAAAUUUUAGCAGUAGCAUUGGUUUUGUUGUUUUAUGAACCUCUUUCUUCCUGAAUACAAUGCCUCCAUGACUAUGACUUGUAUAACAGAUCUUGAGGAAGGUUUAAGAAAUGAAAUUUUCAAUGGGUGCCACGAAAAGUCACCUAAAAAAGGGAAUGAAAAGGAAGGAAAGCAUGGAAAUUCAGGCCAUAUUUUCUUUUUUCAAUUUAACAUGUUUCAUUUGCAUUUGAGAAAAUCAAUUUUAUUUCAUUCAACAUCUUGAAGGAUUCCAUCUUGAGACAAUGGAGGGAAGCACUAAAUCGAAGAGGAAGGAAACCGAUAAAGAAUUUUAAGUGAUCCAUGAACAACAACCAUACUCUAACAUUCAAGAAAACACUCCGCAAAUGACCAAUGCAGUGUGUUCAGGACAUAAACAACUGGCUAUAAUGUUUAUAAAUUUAAAAAUAAUGAAAUCACUUUGAAUAAAAGAUAUUCACAAGGUAAUGAAUGUAAUACAAAAUUGUUGAACAAUAUUUUUUGAGAGACGUGUAAUUUUAUUGUUUUUAAUGACUUAUUUGUGGUGUAUUAUGCAAAUCUUUCAUAAAAUACAACAGUAAAUUUCAAAAAUAUUUAAAAACUUCAGAAUUAACAAGAAAUUCUAAAAGAGUUGGAAAUAAGAAAGAGAAGAAAAAAUAAAAUUAAGAGGAAGAGUUAAAAAAAAGGUGUGAUAUAGGAGAAGAAGAGCUAAAAAAUGGAAGGAACUUUUGUUUGUGCUUAUUUUAUGGAAUGAAGUGGGUGUUGUAUUUAUAGAGCAUACGUUACAUUGAUGAACGUUGGCCAACAUUCUUUUGCAAUAUUAUAUUAUUGUUUUACAAUAAUCUCUCAUCUCACAUAUUGUAAAAGAAAAAGAACAUAGAAAAAGUCUUUGAGCCAAACAGUUUUGUCUCAAAACUAAUUUCCCAUAUUUCAAGUAAUUAUUUUUUCAAUGUCUUCUUUUAGCAAACUUGAAAAAUGAUUGUAUAUAAAGCAAUAACAUAAUAUAGUUGGUAUAGCAAAUUUUUAUCCUGUGUGUAUAGUAAUAAACGAAGAUUAAAAGAAAGAUAAAAAUUUUUUUAUCCUGUGUCAUAAAAUGUAAUGCAUCAGAACUAGUAUAACAAUAUGAACUAGUUUUAGAUCAAGAAACUUAACACACAAUGUAGUUGGUAUAGUAAGCUAUAUGAACCAAAUAUAGUUGAUGUGUAUUAGAGGUUUAUCAAUCACAAUACAUCCCCACAAUCCUUGUUGUUAUCGUUGUGUUGCGCUUAUUAGGCCAUGCGCGUAUCUGAUAUUCAUGAGUGCUCUAGAGAUCAUGACAAGAUCUCAUGCAAGUAACCCCACUUGACACUCAUAUAGGUGAUUUCAUCAAGUGUAUGCUACAAAUCAUACACCACCCAUAAGGGGUAUGAAAAUCAUUAAAAACUUUGUUUAAGCUAAAAUUCUUUCACCACAUAGAAUUUUAAUGAUAAAGUUUAACCUAUCAUAGUGAAGUGUCUAAUACUUUCACACAUAUCAUAAGAAUGGACAUAAUUGAUUAAAAUCAAUUUAGUGCUAUCAUAACUAAUAAGUGACUUGUUUUUACCCAUAUGAACCUUAUUCAUGGGAUCUCUAAUCACAAAGGUCGGAUUACCAUCACUUGUUUGUUUGCAAGUGGCUUAAGUCUCAUUCUCCUCGAUGUUUCUAAUAUCAUAUUUCUUCCUAGGGGUUUUGUUAAGAGAUCUGCUAGAUUCUAUUCUGACUUCACAUAAUCAAUGGAAAUAGUUCCACUCUUCAGCAGCUGUUUUACCAAAUUGUGUCUCAAUUGUAUACAUCUAUUCUUUCCAUUGUAAUUCUUGUUUUUAGCUACAACUAUUGUCGAUUGACAAUCACAGUGUAUUGACACCGAUGAGGUUGGUUUCAUUCCUAGUGGAAUGUUUGUUAAGUUUUUCAUCUGCUCAGUCUCACUACCAGCCAUCUCAAGAGCAACAAACUCAAAUUCCAUUGUUGAUCUUACAAUAAUUGUUUGCCUGGCUGAUCUCCAUGUAAUUGCACCACCCUCAAGUGUGAAUACAUAACCACUAGUGGAUUUUGUCUCAUCUGAAUCAGAGAUCCAGUUAGCAUCACUGUACAUUCUAGUACAUCAAUAAAUCCACUAUAUUCAGUGGCAUAAUCCAUUGAACCUCUUAAGUAUCUCAUAAGUUUUGUAAGUGCAUCCAAAUGUUCCUGAUUUGGACAUUGAGUAUACCUACUCAGUCUACCUACUGCAUAAGCAAUAUCAGGUGUAAAAAAACUCAUCAAGUGCAGUAAGCUCCUAAUUAUCUAGGCAUACUAAAGUUGAGAUAUAGAUUCUCGUUUAUUUUUCAUUAAUUUAGAAUUAGCAUCAUAAGGAAUACUCACUGGUUUAAAGGCAUAAAACCCAAAUUUUUUAAGAAGUUUCUCAUUAUAUUGUUCUUGGGAUAGCAAUAUACCAUCUCCAUUCCUUAUGAUUCUAAUACUUAAAAUCACAUAGGCUUCACCCAUGUCUUUCAUUUCAAAAUUUAACCCUAGAAACAAUUUUGUUCUAGCGACAUUCUCAUUAUAUGUACCAAACAUUAACAUGUCAUCCACAUACAAGCAUAUAAUGACACAAUCAUCAUUUUCAUAUUUAGAGUACACACAUUUAUCAACAUCAUUAGGUGAAAAACCAUCACAAAGCAACACAUUAUCAAGUUUUUCAUGCCAUUGUUUUGGUGUUUGUUUUAAUUCAUACAAGGAUUUUAGGAGUUUACAUACUUUAUUCUCUUAACCAAGUACAACAUACCCUCCAAAUCACCAUUCAAAAAGGUUAUUUUAGCAUCCAUCUGGUGUAUCACUAACAUAUGGAUAACUGUUAUAGCUAACAAUACUCGAAUGGAGGAAAUCUUAUUCACAGGAGCAAAAGUAUUAAAGUAAUCUAUGUUGGAUUUUUGAAUAAACCUUUUGCUACUAAUAUUUCCUUAUACUUCUAUGGAUCCAUCGGGGUGAUACUUUUUCUUAAAGAUUCACUUACAACCAAUGAGUUUUGCUCCUUUAGGCAAAUCUACUAAAGUCCGAGUAUUAUUUUUCUGAAUUGAUUCAAUUUCAGUCCUAAUGACCUUAUCCCAUUAUCUUUUAUCAAGAGCACUAGUAGCUUCUACAAAGCUAGUUGGAUCUUUAUCAACAAGAUAAGUAUAAAAAUUAUUUCCAAAGGAAGUUUCCAUUCUCUGUCUUUUACUUCUUUUCAAACCCUCACUCAUGACAUCAUCAUUAUUAUCAUUAUAUUCAGAUGUCUCACUAAGGAAAAAACAUUUUCAAGAAACGUAACAUUUUUGUCUCCGUUUUAGUGCUGCGCUCAAUCACAUCACUUUUGAGAACCAGAAACCGUUAGGAAGCAUUAUGCUUGGCAGAGCCUAAGAACAUGCAAUAAGAGGUUUUAGAGCCUAUUUUCCUUUUCUUAAGAUCGGGUAACAUCACCUUAGCUAGGCACUCCCAAACUCUUAGAUAUUUAAGGUUAGGUUGAUAACCUCUGCACAACUCAUAGAAAGUUUUACUAGUUUUCUUAUGAGGUAUUCUAUUUUGUAAGAACACGCAGUAAGGCUUCCCCUCAAAGGUUAUUAGGUGCACUAGAACUAAUAAGUAUGACAUUCAUCAUUUCCUUAAGAGUUUUAUUCUUUCUCUCGACUACUCCAUUAGACGCAAGUGAAUAUGGUGGGGUUACUUCAUGGAUAAUACCUUCUUUAAUACACAAUUCAUUAAAUAAUACAUAUUCAUCACCUCUAUCUGAUCCAAUCCUCUUAAUUUUCUUAUUCAAUUGAUUUUCUACUUCUACUUUAUAGGUUAAAAACAAAUCAAAAACUUUAUCUUUAUGUUUAAUUAAGUACACUUUGGUGUAUCUGGACUAAUUAUCUAUAAAGGUCACAAAAUAAUUUUUACCUCCUCUAGACAUGGUUUGUUUCAAAUAAGCUAGAUCAGUAUGAAUUAACUCUAAUAGUUCAAUUUGAUGUUCUACAGAACAAUAUGUUUUCUUUGUUAUUUUGGAUUCUACACAUAUAUCACAUUUACUACUCUAUUUAUCAUGCAUAUUAAUUAAUCAUAGUCGUUGUAAUUUCAAAAUAUACGAGGAAUUCACAUAUCCUAAUCUAGCAUGUCGUAUAUCACACGAGUCAACAAUGUAAGUAGAAGAACUUGAUUCAUUAAUAAUUUCAUAAAUAUUCAGUAUGAAGAGUCCUUGAUCACAAUAUCCCUUUUUCACGAAAACAUUAUUUUUUUGUCAUAAUAAUCUUGUUAGACUCAAAUGACGACUUUAACCCCGCUUUUCUCAGUAUUGAUAUAGAGAUUAAAUUAACUCUGAAAGAGGGCAUAUGUAGAACAUCACCCAAGGCUAGAGUCUUCCUAGAUGUGAGCUUAAGAAAAACCUUUCCUUUUCCUAGGACAAGAGUUGUCCUGGAACACUGAGGUACAUAUGUUCUUCUCCAUUUCUUACACUAAUGUAAGAGAUAAAACCACUUCUAUUUGAAGAGAUAUGCUUGGUAGCCAUAGAGUCAACCACUCACUUGCACACAUUGGUCAUCAUAUUUACUUUAGAAAUAACCACAACAAUAAUGUCAGCUCCUUCGGCUAUAUUUACUCUAGGAGAAUUGUCAUUUCUUGCUCUACACCUACACUGUGAUGUCCUAACUUUCCACAUAUAAAAGAAUUUCCUUUCUUCUUAAAAGUGGGGUUAGAUCCAUUGGGACAGGAUUUUCGAAAAAUACUUUUCUUUUUGUGAUCAGGUUUGUGUCUGUUCCUUUUGGGAGCUGGAUUGACUUCUACCACAUUUGCUUUUGCAGAUAAAGAUUUAGCCCUUGCAGUAGCACACUCCUUCCUAUUGGUAUUUUCAAUAAUUAUGUGUGUGAUAAGCUCUGGAAGCGAUACAUGCUUGUGUCUAUGUUUAAGCUAUUGUUUGUAGUCAGUCCAAGAUGACGACAAUUUUUGGAUUAGAAAUUCUGAACAAAUUCAUCCGAUAGAAGAAUAUUCUCUGCUUUGAUAUCUUUGAGCAACUUGUGGUAUUCAUUGAUUUGAGUCUUUAUGUCAUUGUCUUCAAUCAUCUCCUAACAGUAGUAGUUUCCUAUGACGAAUCUUUGUUUGACGACAUCUUCGACAGUGUAUUUGAGAACUAACAAGUCCCAAAUGUCUUUUGCUUUCUUCUAGGAACAAUACACAUCAAACAAAUCAUUAGAAAAUGCACUAAGCAGAGUGCGCCGACAUACCUUGUUCGCGUAAGUCCGAUCUUCAACUAGUUUUGAGUUUGAAGGGAUACUAGAGUCAGGUUUUGGAGAUGAAAGAGCAGUUGCAACUCCAUACAUGUCUAAAAGGGUAGACAUACAUUUUUCCAAUGUCGAAAGUUGUCCAAAGAAGACCUCGACUAUUGACACGUCGAGAAGUGGUUUUGCAAAUAUCGUGUAAGUUCCGGAAACAAUGUUUUGACUCUUCAGGAUCGAGUUGUUGAUGUUAACCAUGAGUCCUUAAGGUUGUAGUAGAAAAUUACUGAGAAAAUUAUGCAUAAUAUUUCUUGAGAUGUGUAAUUUUACUGUCCUUAAAUAUUUAUGUGCAAUGUAUUGCGCAAGGCUUCCAAGAUACAACAGGAUCUUAUUGAAAAUAUUCGAAAAUCUCAUAAUUAGCAAAAAAACUCUAAAAGAUUUUAUACCCAAAAUACAAGAUACAAAAGUUUGUGAGAAGAAGAGCUGGAAAAUGGAAAGAAUUUUUUUAUGCUUAUUUUUAGAUAAACCCAAUAAAUAAUAUUGGAGGAAUAAUGAAGUAUUCCCAUUUCAAAACAAUUUUUAGUUGAACCAAGAAUAAACUAUGGGUACAAAUAAAGCACUUUAAUCAAUCUUAUAUUUAUAUGGGUAAGGUUCCACAUAAAAAUAACUCUCAAAAAAAUCACGUAUAUAUUGUAAUUUAAUACAAUGCUUUUGAAGGUGACAAACAUUACGUACUUUUACUAUGUAAACAAAAAAAAAAUGUUAUUCUUUUACUCACCGAUCUCUUUAAUUCCACGGUAAUUUAUUCUUUUAAAUUUACUCAAAUUGUAUUCAAAUUUUAAAUCCAGUACCCUUUUUUUUCAUUAUUUUUGUUCAACUUUGUUUUAUCAACUUCAUCUUCAAGAUUCUAUUUGCGUUUAUGUUUACGUUUACUUGAAAAAUAAAAAAAUCUUCCAAAAAGAUAAGUAGAAAAAUACCAAAAUUGAGUUACUUCGUAUAUUCGGUUAAAAAUAAAUUUUAAGAUUAACUUAAUUUUAUAAAAUUAACUUGUAAGAUGAUUUUUAUAUUUAGUGAAAAUAUUUUAAUACAUUCAUUCCAUGUUCAAGACAUUAAUGAGUGAUUUAAUAAUGGUUCAAAAACAAAUAGAACAAUAGAUCCAACAAUAAAUUUAACUAGAAUAAACUUUAACUCGUGACUCCGAUGAUCCAAUGUUAAAAAGUGAAUUUUAAACCUUAUUCAAUUUUACAAAACCGACUUGUAAAAUAAUGUUUACUAUCCAUCUUUUAUGAGACUUCCAACUUCUGGUCUUUAAUAUUUUCUAAUAAAUAUAACAAAAUAUUUCAUAUACUAUUUGCGUCAUUCAACUUGAAACUUUCACAUAUCUAGCAAUUUUCUAUUUUUUCAUCAAAUUCAGCAUAUCACAUACACAAUGAAAAUCAAGAAAAUGUAAGCAAUGCGCACAAAUAUAUGUAUAUAUUAUAUAUUCACCACCAACAACUCAUCAUAGAGAUGAGAAGAUGGAAGAGGUGAUUUUCUUGAUCUAACAACUCAUGGCGAACCAUUCUCAAUAGAAUGACAUUGUGAGGAAGAAGACCACUAUAGUAUAGGAGGGUUGAGAUGGAAGUGCUUGGCUCACCAACAAAAGAUGACACAAAUCUCACCAUUGACCUAAACAAUAAAGUUGUAAGAGACUGCAGUAGUCACACAGAUAGAAAAGUUAAAAAACAACAAACCCUAAUUUUUUGCUCUGGAAAUUAAAUGAGGAAAAAUGGACUCAAAAAAGAUGAUAAUUACCAUGAUUAUAUUGUAAUCUGAAUGAAGCAGCAAUGAAUUAUUAUAGUUUCAGGAGGGGUUUUGAAAUGAAGUUAGGUUGAUUUAUAUAAAGAUGGCCAUGUGGAGAGUAGAAAACCCUUUUGUUUUUUCUUACAAAUUAGAUGCAGCGGAAAUUCAAACCAAACCGUCAGCCAACGUUCAAAUGUACCCAAUUAGUGGUGGAAAUUAUGAAUCUCUUCUUUGAUUACUUUAAGUAAGCUAUUAAAGAUAUAAGACCAACGUCCACAAAUCUUAUUUAUAUAUUUAAUUGAUUUAGAGUUAGAGUUCAAUAUUAUUAUCCUAAUAGGUAGAAACUCAAUUUUAGGAAAUAUGCAAAUUUUAAAUAUCCAAUGUAUAAAAAAUAAAAUAAAAUAAUGUACAAAUUUGGGAAAAACUUGAAAGUCAAUUAUAUAAAUUUGAAAAAUAUAAUUAAUUACAAAUUACAAAAGUAAAAAAUAAUAGGUAAAAUCAUUCAUUAUAUCCUAAAAUAUAAUGCAUACAUAUAUAAUAUUUAUUCAGUUAUUCAAAAUAAUAACUAUAAUAAUAAAAUAUUUACAAACCAACUAUGGAUCACCUUUUCAAAAUAAAAAUAACUUUUAUACAAACAUCUACAUAAAACUAUAAAACUAUAAAACUAUAAAACUAUAAAAUUAUAAAACUAUUAUGUCGCAUUCUCACAUUUCACUAAAGACAUAUCAUAACUUAUCUCGUAUUGUGUUCACACCAUGAAUAAACUUUUCUAAAUUAUUUAAAGUUAUGUUAUAUAUAAACAUACAAACAUUUGAUACUAGACUCAAUUAUAUGAAAACAUGUCUUUUAGUCUAGUGUAAUAUUAUUUAUGUUUUGUAGUGCAAGAUAGCGGUGUUCUAUUAUUAUUCAACGUCAAAGCAUUUGUAAAACUAGAUGCUCAGCGGUAAAAAAGAAUGUUUAGUAGUUUUGAAACAAAAAUGUUCCUAGACUUGCACUAAGAAACUUGCGCUUAACAGCCAACUAAUAUCUAUAGACACUUACAAUUAUUUUUUAAGUGAUCUUGUGUCUCUUCAAUUAAUCAAUUAAUCAGUACUAUUUUCUCAAUUAAUUUAAAAUAAUUUCAAACGUAGAAACUCGUACUAUUUUACCCAAGAAGAACUAAUUUAAGCUUAAAAACAAAAACAAAACACUAACUUACUUCAAUUAAAAAAUUGAUCGUCUCGAAUUCAAGAUUAAUGGAAUAAUAUUUUUAAUAUUCAAAGAUUAAAUAAUUAAAAAAAUAAAGAGCGCUCUAAAAUAAACUUUCCAAUAAUGGAAGUAUAAUUUAAAUAUUAUAAAAAAAAACACAGUAAAACUUUUCCCAUACUAUAGAAGAUUUAAACAUUUUAUAUUUAAUAUUCGUGAAUCGUGAUAAGGUUAUUUCGCUGUAGAAAAAAAAAUAUCAAUAAAAAUAAAAUAGAAUCAUUAUACAAUCACCAUAUUUUCUUUUAAUUUAUCGCUAAUUUUGUUGUUGUAAUCAAUACGUUCAAAUAUCCUGAACCCUAAUUUUCUUUUUUAUUAAUGUUUUUACAUUUUUUUUCCCUUUUAAUGAAAAUAUUUUUUGUUUUUCUAAUUUUCAAUAGCAAUAUGCAUAAUGUAUUUUUUUAUUAUUAAUAUAUUAUAUUGUGUACCUUUAUAAGUUAUAAAUGGUGAGUAUAUUGAAAUUUUGGAACUGCAGGAAGUAAUUUGUUCGAGUGCAGAAGCUAGGCCUUAUCCUCCUUCUUCGUCUUUCUUACCUUUUAAUUUCUUCAUACACCUCCACAAAUUUUUAAAAUGACGAUUUCAUCUAUUUAGAACGAAAUUUCUGGAACAAAAUUUUCAAAAUGCAUUUCCUCAAUGAUUUCUCUUUUCUUCUUUCUUUUUCCGUAUUUUUUCUCUUAUUGUUCUCAUUGUCGUGUUCUUCCACAUUUCUUCUUCUUCUACAGUAGUUGGUGUUGACAGCAGCAAUGAUGGUGUGAUACAAUGAUAAAGGGUCUUUUGAGUCUUUUUCCACUAGUGCAAAAACGCUAUUUAACGUCACCCAAUAGACGUUUGUUUGUUGAUAAUCCGACGUAUAUGAGUGGAUGGUGGUAUUAUCGUAAAUAGCUUGAUAACGUAGACGUCGGUUUCUACACAACGCGACGUCUAUGAUAUUGUAGACAUCCCAACUGCUGCAAACAGACAUCUAAUGGCCUGAGGUAGGUCAGAAGACAGUCCCGUGACGUCGGUGUUCACGGGGGGUGACGUCUAUAGGGCUGCAAUUAAUGCUUUCACCUAAUUCCCAGGCGCUUAGACGUCGCUUAGUCAAUAGGUGACGUCUACGGCCUGAAUAAAGAAGGCGGGAUGAUAAAAAAUCUUCAAUUUAGACGUCGGGGAUCGGUACACGCGACGUCUAAGUGCCUGUAAUUAAUUAAAUUCACCAAAUUCAAGGGCCAUAGACGUUGGCUAGAAGGGGCAUCGACGUCUAUGUGCCUGUAAGUAAUGAUGUGCAUCAUUAUAGACGUCGGCGCCCCAUCACAACUGUCGUCAACAUCCCUAACAGGAAAUCAAAUGUAAAUCGUUUUAGCUUCCUAGACGUCGGAUCCCCUUGUGACCGACGUCUAGUGGGAUUCAAAAGGUCGGUUGAAAAGUUAACUUGGACGUCGAAUUAGUAACAGAACUGACGUCUAUAGUCAUGUAGACGUCGGCUAUCUGGAGAACCCGACGCCCAGUUUCAUUUUAAAAAGACCGCAAACUCUUCGCGGCAUUCAGUUUUUGAUAUCUUCCUCUUCCUCUUCUCCUUUUUCUCUCACGACACUCUUCUUUUUCUCUCUUUCGGCACAUCUUCUUUUUGUUGUGGCAUUCUAUUGUUGUUUCUGAUAUCUUUAUCGUCUUCCUCCUCUCUUUUUCUCUCUUGCGACAUUGCAUCCCAGGUGCGUGAUUCUUUUUUAUGCUUACCGUUUGUUUAGUCUUUCAUCAAUUAUGUUCUGGUUCAACUGAUUAAAAUUUGCUUUCUUUGUGUUGUGUUUUAGUGCAGUUUUGUUCCUUUCUUGGGAUAACGUAGUAACACAUUCUCCCUUUGCUAGCUGCCUCCUAGAAAUAGCGGCGUCUUUUGAAUUUCUUUUGAUCGUUUCAACCCAAAAACGACCCUGGGUCGUUGUCUAGCAUUCGUUUCACCGUGAUUUUUUCCUCUUGCGGAUGAAAAAUGAAACUAAGUAACCACCUAGGUUCGGUUUUGGGUUGAAGGGACCAUAAGAAAUUCAAAAGACGCAAGUUUUUUUUGGGGGAAACUAGCAAAAGGAGAUUGUGCUACUAGGCUAUCCAAAGACGGAAACAAAACUGCACUAAAACACAACCACUGUAUUAGACGUCGGUUAAUGCAAAAAUCGUCGUCUAUAGUGACUUUAGACGUCAGUCUUUGUCAUGUUCGACGUCUAUAUGUGCUCUUCAUCGUCGGUUAAUGCGUUAUCUGACGUCUAAUUAGUGUCUUUAGACGUCCAUUCAAACCAGUGCCGACGUUUAUUGACAUCGUUCGUGGGUACUAACUGACGUCAUCGGUUUAGACGUCGGUUUAAGAUUAGACGUUAAAAGCCCAAAAUAACCGACAUUAAACAACGUUUUUGCACUAGUGUUCUUUGAGUCCUCUGAAGAAAACAUCAUCUUCAUCUUGUUCCCAAGUCAAUGGAUAACCUCAAUUUUUGAAGGAUGAUGAACCCUUUUAUUAAAUUUAAAAUAAGUUUUUCUAAAAUAAUUAAUUUAUAAAAUAAUUACUUAUUUAAGAAGUCAAUAUAAUUUUUCAUAUUAAAACAAUUAGCAUUCCUUAUUUUUAAUAUAAGCAGAUUAAAAAAAUAAAUAAAAGGCUGACUUGUUUUUACUUAUUUUAUUAAAUAAAUAUUUUAUAUGUUUUUUGAGUUUAUUUAUUCUUAAAAUAAUCAUGUAACGUCGAAAAUAUAGUAUUUAAUUAUAUAAUAAUCAUCACAUGUUUAAUAUAAUAUAUCAAUUAAAAAAAAGGAAUAUAAAGUAAAAUUUACAGUUAUCCAAAAUAAUCAUAAAUUUUAAACUUUACAUACAACAUACAAGUAUUGACCUAUAUACAAGAUUGGUGUAUCGAAAACUACUAAAAAAAGACAAAUAAUAAAGAAAGACAAAUACUAAAGAAAGUGAAAUUAUAUCACUACUAAACAUGAAGACCCUUGUCGCCUAAAGCCUACUCUAUCGUCACAUCAUUAAUAUCAUUAGUAUGAAUGUAAAAAGCUCAGUUCUGAUGGGUUAUCCCGACACUCUAAUGAUCAUCCAUGCUUAAGUAGAGAGUGAUGAGUCAUGUGGUGAGAGUAGCAAGAGGUCUUAGUCUAAGUACUUCCAGUAUGGUCUAAGAUGUGGUACAGAUUAACCUUGUAUGGUAGCUUUAAUGGUUGUCAGUUGUUCCACCAUACAAGUGCAUAACCCACCAUGGUCCUAGCCUGAGGCCCUUUCUCCAUCUGGCAAAAGGCAUGUUGAAGGAUUGACCUUGUGUGAUAGCUUUGAUGGUUGUCAACUGUUCCACCAUACAAAGGGCAGAACAUGUUUUAGCUCGAUAUUCAUUGUAUAUCUGAAUAGUCAAGUCUAAGUUUGUUGCAUGUUAAGGAUGGAUGGUUUUAUUGUGUGAGGUGUAAACCAUGUUGUAAUGUUGUUUUAUUAUGAUUAAUUGUUUUACCACUAGCUUACCAUUGUUUUUGUUUUUGUUUGUCUAUGCAUUGUUUUCUCUUUUGCAAUGAUCACCUUAACCAGUGUGAACUUAAGAAGUGGACAUCUUCUCAGUUGAACCAGCGGUUUGUUGAGAGAUGAGCAACAUGAUAGAAAGUUUUGCUCUUCAAGGAUAAAAUCUUCUGCUCUAGUAGUCUCAGGUUUAUUGCAAGUUAUCAUGUAUGUACGUUUAUUUUAGUAGUUUUUACAUUAUUAAAAUGAAAUCUUACACUUGUGUCUUCUACAAUUCAUUUCAAUUUAAAGAUGAAAGUUUUGUGUUCAACCUAAUCAAUUCAACUUAAAUAUAUGCUUUUGUAAUUCAAUUUUAGUGACUAUUCUAUCAUCACCAUCUUCCUCACAACAUAAAGGCAAAAAGAAAACAAAGGAAAGGGUUUUGAAUGGUAAUAGUAUCUUCUACAAAAAUUAUCAAUAUUACCGACGAAUUUUUAUCGACGGAACUGAAUCUGUCGGUAAAUAUUCCAUUACCGACGACUUUACCGAGGGAUUUUGAUUUUCUUUUACCGACGGACAAAAGCCUUCGACAAGUCUGUCGGUAAGUGACAAUGUCAGUUACCGAAGAAUUUACCGAAGGCCCUUUUCCGUCGGUAAUGGCACUGUCACUUAUCGACGGAUUUACCGAAGGCUUUUGGCCCGUCGGUAACUUUAAUGUCACUUAUCGACGGAUUUAUCGAAGGCUUUGGGUCGUCGAUAAAAAGAGCGGGAAUUUUCCCGCCCAUUAUUUCACUUACCGACAUUACCGACAGAUUUACCGAAGGCUCAUGCCCGUCGGUAACUUUAAUGUCACUUACCGACGAAUUUAUCGAAGGCUUUGGGCCGUCAGUAAAAAGAGCGGGAAUUUUCCUGCCCAAAUUCCGCCUCCAGUGUCAAUAUAAUGGGCAAACACGCUCGUUUCUCCUCAUUUUUCUUUACCAUCUCAGUUUCACACCACCACUACUCAUUUCUCAUUUCUCCUUACCGUCUUGUGGCUUCAACUCUCUGCCAUUGCGGGUUGCUCUCCACUGUCGUAGGAUACUCUCCACCAUCACGGGAUGCUCUCCAUUUUUCCGGCGAGCUUAACUUUUCCAGCGAGCUUAACUUUUCCAGCGAGCUCCACUUUUCCGGCGAGCUCAAGUUUUCCGGCGAGCUUAAUUGUGCAUGAUAAAAUGACACAACAUCAUCGGUCCUAAGCUUUUUCGGUGAGCUCAACUCUCCAUGAUAAAAUGACACAACAUCACCGGUCCUAAACUUUUCCGGCGAGCUCAACUCUCCAUGUUUUCCUACGGUUAUUCGCGUGAUGGUUUUUUGGUGGUGGAGUUCGUGGAAAUGAAAAAAAAAAUGACACAGAGCGAGGAAGGAAGAGGAAGAAGAUGAACCAGGUCGCGACAUUUACCGACGGAUUUACUGAAGGCCUAUAUCCUUCGGUAAUUACCGACGGCAAAGGCCUUCGGUAAUUACCGACGACCAGUAGCCUUCGGUAAUUACCAACGGCCAAAAUCCUUCGGUACAAGUUACCGACAACCUUUUUACAGACAGUGUGCUAGCUGUCGGUAAGCCGUCGAUAAAUGCUAAUUUACCGACGAAUCAUGGUCGUCGGUAAAUGCUAAUGACGUCUUCAAGGCGACAACGUCAAACGAAACUUGUCGAAAAAAACCAGUGAUUGGCUAGCAUUUUGGAUGCGUAAAUAUGAUUCUGGUGAUGUCUCUAACAUCUUGGUCGUGACGGUUUAGACCGGUGAAUGCGAAGAUGAAUAAGAUUGGUGGGUGGAGGAAUGGAGAAGAUUGGUUGGUGGUGAAAACGGUGGAUGGACAAGAAAAAAAAUAUCCUAUUAAUUUUUUUUUUAAUGUUAAAAGUAGUGUUGGAUUUUAUAAAAUAAUUAAUUUUAAUCUAUAAAAAUAAAUUUUAAUUUUAAUUCAAAAAAUUAAAAUUAAACACGUCAGAGUCAUCUGUUAUUAUUUGACAGUCUAAUGAAGCGCUAGUUAUCACAUGAGUGAAAUUUAAAUAUUGUUUAAAAUAAAAAAACUAUAACUAUUUUAAAAAAAAUUAAGAUAAAGAUGUUUCAAAAUUUCACGCAUGAACUAUUUAGAAUUUUAUUUAACAAUAGAAGGAAACAAAAUAUUGAACUCAUGUAUAUAUAAAGAAAAAAAAAUUCAUAUAAAUUAAAACUAAAAAAGAAAUAAAAAAAAAAUUCCUAUUAAGAUAGCUUACAAGUUGAUUGAUUACAUAAAAACUAAUUAAAAAAGAGAAUCUGACUAACUUUUGAAAUCUCUAACGAGGAAGAAACCAAAAGAGGUUGAAAUUUAAAGGUUAGACUGUGAUUUAAUGCGUCUCAUUUUAUUAAGGAUAAUAAUAUUUAGACAACAUUUUUUUAACAAUAUUUGAAUAUCAUCUAUAUGUCAUUCUGUGAUUGGUACAUGGUGGUGUUUAUGAUUAUUAUUAUUGAUUGUGAAGUAAUUUUGUACCAAUCAUAAAUAAUGUUCAAAUGUUGUUAAAAAAAUGUUGUCUAAGUAUCAUUAUCCCUCUAAUAAACACAUAAUCAUUCCAGUAAAUACUUCUCAAAACUCCUCCAUUCUUAUUUGCGUGGGAUAAUUCUAAAAGACAGAAAUUAAAUUUUUCUUUUUUAGUAAGGGAAGGAAAAUGUUAAAUUUUGAUUUUUAUAUGUGCAUUCUUAAUGCUUCUUGCACUUCUAUUAUGUUAUGAUAAUAAUAUCAAAGAAGAAUUUUAUGAGCAAAUAUAUUUAGAAUAAUGUUAGGAGCAUCAAACACACAUUAUAAUAAUAUUAUUUACAUUAUAUGUAAUAUUAUUUUUAUAUUAACAUUUAUACUCUUAUAUUUUUAUAUAUGUAAAACCAAUUAAGAUAACAUAACAAAAUGAUACUCAUAUAAUCCAAUUUAAAAUGAUAAUUAUAUAACAUUCACUCAAUUAAAAAAUAUAAAAUUUUUAAAUAUUCAUUAAAUAGAAAAAUUAAUAGAAACUCGGUUAUUAGAUAUCUAAAUUUAUGAAAAAUCAAAUCUUAAUUAAGCUUGUAAAAAAAUAUGAUCAUAAAAUUUAAUCAUUUAACAGGUUGGAAUUUUUUUUUGUUUUGUGGUUUUUACAUUAUGAAGAAAAAAUACAUUAAAAAGAGUAACAUAUGAUUAAUAAUAGAAAGAAUAAUGAGAUAUCAUAUACUAGUAGUAACACAUGUAAGCACGUGUUACACACGUGCAUAAUUUUAACAUGUGUGGCAGUACAAAAGAUCGCUGUCGGACACCGACGACAAGUAUGGUAAGGUGUGACAGAGGCGCACGUGGUCUUAUACCGGACUAUCCGGUUCUUCUACCGGUAACUCACCAACCUUUCAUAAUUCAUCAUUGUUUCUUUGAUUUUUCCAAAAGAACAAAACAAAUCUUGGCGGUCAAAAUCUCAUUAAUUGAUUCAAACAAAUUAAUUACUCCCUUGGAUUUUCAAACACCUUCCUCUAUCUGUUUUAUUUAUUUAUUUAUUUUUUCAUUUUUUAUUUUCUGCAGUUAUAACGACUUGUUUUAUAUAAUAAUAAUAAUAAUAUUUAGUUUUAUUUAUGGCGUGCUUGCUUUGUUCUUUGUCGGGUUAACGUGAGAAAGGAAGAGGUGUUGCUUCAGUUUUGUUUUUGAAUGGUAAAGAAAGAAACUUUUGGAGUGGGUUUCUGAAUUUCUUUAGUUUUUUGCUCUGAAAAUGGAGAGAGAUUUUAUGGGUCUGAACUCGAAGGAACCAUUCGUUGGAACGAAGGAAGAGAUGAAUAAUGAUAGUGGGUGCAAAAUCUCAGGCAUGUUUAUGUUUUUUUGUUUUUUUUUCUGACCUCUGUAUGAUCACUCAAUUCAGUUUUUCUGUUUUUUUGGGAAAUUGAACAUCCGAACCAGUUACUAAAUUUUCUUGGUUUAUGAGUUUGGACAUAUUUUUUAGUCUGUAUUUCAUCCUUCUUUAACCAAUAAGAGCUGUUCAUGCAACUUUACUUCUGCUGCAGCUGUAGAGCUGCGGAUUAUUUAAUAGUUAGGGAGUUCAUGUAUAGUGAUUCUUGUUUCUAUAUUUGAAUUUUUCUAUGUGACUGUGUAUGGAAUUUGUAAUUUGAAAAAAAAUAUCAUUCUUCAGUUCUUUACCAGUUAUGUUGAUUUGGGUGUUGAUGCUUCUGCACAGUAAUACUUAGAAUGAUGCCAAGUCAUAAAAUUUGACAAUCUACUCCUCAAUUUUCCUUUUCCUUUCUUGUGCAUCCUUUGCAGUCUAUUUAGCUUGUAUUUGGUUUCAUGUUAGAUUCUGCAGAAUCAUAUUGAAGUACCAAGUAACAUGAUUUUAGUUAAAUUUUCAAGUGUGUUUGGUUUCACAUGAAGGAAUUAAUUCUGGGUCUAAAAUGAUUUUGGGUUGAAGCAAUAUAGGAACUGAAUUUUACUACUAAUUUGCUUCUAUAAUAAAAACAUCCUACAGAAUUCCUACAGAUCAAUUUUAAAAAAUCAAAAUUUUUCCAACACUCCUACAGAAUUCCUUCUUUUUUACUGACCCUAAUAAUAUUGAAAUUUAUGUUGAUGGUUCCUUGCUGGUAUGUAGGUUUCACAAAAGGAGGUAUGGUAAAAUGGCCCUUCAUGAACAAAGUAUCUGUCCAUCCUCAUUCGAUGUCUUUGAAUACUCCUCAGGUUUGAAUAUACACCUUCUCUCAGUUUUUGUGUAUUUGUUCAAAAUUGCAAAUUAGCACAACAGUUGGUUGAUUAGGCUUUAUAUUCUGUAAAGUAAAGUGAGUAAAACUUAUUCACUUUUAGCAGAUCAGAUGACUCCACUGCGUUCAGAUUGGUAUUUUUAUUGAGUCUGGUUUUGGAAAACUUUUCUGUUAAUGUAAGUUGGUAUAGAUCUGCUUAUACUAGUUUUUCUGAAUUAUGAACUUGUCCUUUAGAUCUGAACCUAGCUUUAAGAAGUUUUGCACUACCUCAUGUCUUUUGGUUCACAUAGAUUUGUUUAAUCCACUUUCACAUCAACAAAGUUUUGCUCUUUCAUUAACUGUAAUCUUCUUAUUACUUAGAAAUCUGUCAAUCAUGAUGAACAAGGUGGUGGCAUUCAUUUUUCCCUGAGUCCUUAUACUACACUACAUGAUGUGAAUCAUAUGAACCGCCCUCAUAAUGUGAAGAUGUUUCCAGUUCCCAACCAAGCAAUUCCAGUUUCCAUGGGACCUCUAUCACUAAAUAAUCCCUUUGCAACUCUUGGUCAGAAUAUGAAUGCUUCUAGUAUGAAGCAACCACUACUAGGGGGAAUACCUGUUACAGCACCCCAUUCAGUUCUUCCUGUAGUUGGUGUUGGUGCUGUUGCUGGAAUGACUGAAUCAUGGUAAUUACAUUUUUGUGCUUGAAAACAGUUAUAUAGAGACAAUGGUGGUUCAAGAUUUUAGGAGACCUUGGAGGUUUUUUUCUUGGAGAACUCAAACAAAUAGUACUCAAAGAAAUUUUUGAGGACCUUUUUAAGACAUAAAGAAAUUAGUACUAAAAAAAUUGAGAUUUUUUUUCUUGGAGACCUAAAGCAAGGGCUUUAUCUGUUUGUGUCUUGAACCGGCCUUGUUUAAAAAGAUGAUUCGAGUGCUGUACUGCAAUGAACAAACUUGUUAUUUUCUAACUUGUAUCAUUUUGAAAUAACAGUGUGAAACCAUCUGUAUCUGUUCCUAAACUUACCAUCUUCUAUGCUGGCACUGUGAAUGUCUUUGAUGAUAUAACUCCUGAGAAGGUAUUUUCUCUCAUGUUUUGCUGCAUACACAAUGAACAAACUAAUUGAGUAUAUGAAGAGGAACAUACAUCUCAUUGUUCAUCCUUGACCAUUUUUCUUCAGGCUCAAGCAAUCAUGUUGAUGGCUAGGAAUGGCUUAUCAGUUGCUUCUAAGGUGUCAGUGCCUAAUGUUCAGGCACCCAUACAUAGUAAACUCAUACCACUCUCAAGUAAUUUAUCUGGGUCUUCACAUACUGGUACAAAAUCAGGGAGUGUUUCAAGUAGCAGUGAUGAAUUUCUGGCAGCUAAAACAUCUGGUGGUACCCCUACUUCUGUUAACAAAGCAGAAACUCCUAAAGUAGUCAACACAAACACCAUGCUGUUAUCAGGUAUGGUAAUUUAUUGCUGCUAAUUGUAUCUUUGGUUCUUUAUAUACUUUUUCAUUUGGGGUAAGAUAAAUUUACUUUAUACUUAUCCAAAAUUAUUUGUUUUGAUCAUUGCAAGUGUUUGUAGUCAGUGAUUCUACAAUCAGAAGGUUUUUCUGAAUGAAUAUGACAUUUUCUUUUCACAUUUUAUGCAGCUGUGCCACAAGCUCGCAAGGCAUCAUUGGCUCGAUUUUUGGAGAAGCGCAAAGAAAGGUUAGCAUAUACAUGAUUUUUAUCUACUCACAAGAAAAAAUGAUUAUAUGGAUGAAAAAUUAUUGGAGUCUGAGGUGUUUCUGUUCAUGCAGGGUGUUGAGUGCAGCACCAUAUAACCUGGACAAGAAGUAUGAGAAUAUGUCAGAACAGAGUGCAACUGUUUCUAACAUCAGUGGAAGUGAGGGUGUAACCAAACAAGGAUAGUAGUAGUAAUAUUUGAUGCAACUUGUAACAUAGUAAAGUUGUGUGCAGAUGAUUUUAUUUUUAUCAGAACUUAAGCUGAGAUUAUUAUGUAUUAAACUGUUUUCAGUCAUUAGGUAGAGCCUUACUUUAAUUAUUUUUGGUGUAGGGCUUUUAUACCUUGUUACCUUCCAACAGGACAAGUUGUUACAGUGUUGGAAUUAAAGGCAACUUUAAAUAAUAUUUAUAUUUAUAUUUAUUUUCUGUACAUUCCUUAAAUCACUCAGUUUUAGUUUUACUAAUUGUGUUUAUACCUUCUUUACCUAUAUUUUUAUCUUUAAUUUGUCAAACAAGAACAAAAGGUUGAGUUAUAGGAGUAAGCUGGUGCAUAUGAGUGCAUAAUGGAGGGUUGCAAGGGAAUUAAUUUUGAACUAGAACAAUUAUAAUAUAUGACUACUAGACAAUAAAUAAAAUUAAAAAUUAAGAUAUUAAAAAUACAUGAGUUAAUGUUGAACUACUAAAAUGGUAUACCUGAUAAAAAAUUGUUGUUAUUUUGGAUCAUAAUGAAUUGAUAUAAAACUGUUUUAGUUUAACUGAUAAUUUCAUAUCAUAUGUACCUGUUAAAUAUAUAAAUGAAGAAAAUUUUGUCAUUUAUAAUGGCUCUUUACUCUAAUCUAUUAAUUGUUGUAAAAUAUACGAAAAUUAUAAAUAUAUGGUUAACAUUAAAGGAAUAGAUUCCCUUGGACAAAUAUCAGUGGUGCAAAAAUACAAAUAGACUUUAAGUCAAAUCAUAUUGAUUCUAUCAAUUAGGCUGCAGUAGAUAUUUAUAUAUCCAUUGACAAUUUCACAACCUAAAAAGUUUUAUACUUUCAUUAGAAGGAAGGACGUUGAGUGAAGCAGAAAAUAAAAGAAAAAGAAAAUUAACUAAAUGAAAAAAGGAAUAAAAAUGAAGAAAUGGUAUUUAUUAUUAAUAAUUUUAUUUUACUUAUUUAUUUUAAUAUUAUUUUUAAUUAUUUAUUAUUGUAAUAAUAAUAAAUGUAAAUAUUAAUUAUACGUGGAAAAUAUAAUUGAUUAUAUAAAAAAUAUAUAUUAAUAAUAUCUAUAUAUAUAAUUUGUAUACAUUUUCUUUCAUAUUUGAAGUAAUUUUCACUUUUUUUUUCUCUUUACUGUUUGCAUAGAGAGUUAAACACUUUUUAUUUCUCUGAGUAUUUUUUUUUUGUCAAGGUAAUUUUUAUUUAUUUUUGUUUCAUCAUGAACUUCUCACCUAUGAAGCUAACAAAGAAUUCAUUCUUAUAACUAUCUCAUAUUUUAUUUAUAAAUAUUAUUAAAAUAGGUAUUUUAAGACAAAUGAAUAUUAUUUUAAAAUUCUAUAGUUUAUUAAAGAUAUUUCAUUAUCAUAGUUAAAGGAGUGUUUAUUAUAUUAAAUAACCUACUCAUUUUUUUAGAAUUAGGUCAAAGCUAACUUAAACCAACUUCUCAAAUCUUCUAUGAAUUAGGUGGUGAAUUAUAAUAUUAAGUCCAAUAUCUAACUCAAUUCUGUUGUAAAAAAAAUAAUUAUAUUUGACAAUUUAUUUACAUGUUUUUUUUUAGUUUUUACAUUAAAUUGUAAUUAUAAUAUUUCUUUGUUUAGUUUUAUUAACACUAAUUACAUAGUUUUUUAAAAGUAUUCAACAAAAUUUAACAAAAACAAUAAUCAACUAUAAAGAAAUUGGCUGAUCAUUUAACUUAAUCUCAUUUCUAUUUAUUUAGAAAUGUUUAAUCUAAAAAACCGUAUUUUGUUAUAUGAAAAGAAUCACAAGUUUUGCAAGUAACAUGCAAAACAUUAAUGGUGAUGAACAAGUGGUGGUGCUUCAAGAGUUUUUUAGUGGUUCUUAUUGUGUUAUCACUUUCUUUAUUUGGUCACCAUCUCUCUCACUCUCACUCUCACUUUCAUUUUCUUUAUUUAUUUUUAAUAAAAUCUCUUUCAUACGAAGUAGAUAAUUUUGGAUGGUACCGCAAAAUAAAAAUAAAAAAAUAACUAGUUUUAUUAUUCAAGUUGAACAAGUAUGAAUAUAUAUGAUGGCAAGAAGAAAAAAAUCUACAAAAGCAUGUGCAGUGUGGUGCAAACAUCAAUCACAUUUCAACUAUGAAGAAUAAUAAACUAUACAUUGCGUGCAUUUGUGUCAAAACCUUCAAACAACCACACAUUUUUAUUUUAUUUUAUUUUAUUUUUUUUAUGUGAUACUUAAAGUUAUUUUCAACCAAGUAAUAAUCUUCAUUUAUUUAAUUUCUCUUUUCAAUAUAAAUGUAUUAUUUUGUUUCAUCACAUCUAUAGUUUAUUGAUGUUGGUCCAUCUGACAGUGAUUUAGAUUCUUUAGACAUGGUUUGGAAGAAAUGCAAGGUGAAGAAACCAUGGUGAAAUUGAGUGUUUUGCAUGGAACCUAGGAAACAGGGAAAAUAAAACAUUAUGUUAUUUAAAAGCAUUUUUACUGAAAAGUAGGAUAAAAUAACAAAGUAGAUAAAAUUUGUAACAUCCAGAAAAAUUAGAUAAGUAAAAAACAAAAUAGUCACAAUAGUAGUUAUUUAAAUAUAAAAAAUUAUUAGUACACUUUAUUAGAAUUUCAUGAUAUGGAUUUGUGAUUAGAUUAUGUGUUUGAUUCUUCUUGUUUACAUAAUAAAUAUUUAAUUCUUUUAUUAUUAUUUGUUUAUUUGCAAGUUUAGUAUGUAUUGAUAUUUAAAAUAAGUGUUAUGCAUUGUCUAUUAAAGUAUGAAUGUGUUGUUGAAUUUGUUUGAAAAUUGUUUUGAUGGAGAUGUGAGAUUUUAGAAAUUCUAAUGAUUAGGAAAAAUAUAUAUAAUAUGAAGUAUUUUAAAUAAAACAUAAUAUGAUUUGUUUUUAAUAUUUGAAAUGUUUAUUUUUAUUUUAAAAGAACUUUAAAAAAAUAAGAAUUAGUGAAAAAUUAUUUAAUUAGAAAAAUCAUUAUUGGAUAUGGUUAAAUAUUUUAAAAGAUGUUAUUGGAUAUUGUUAUAUACUUGAUUAAUUGAUCAAUGAAAAGAUAUCUUAAGAUAUUAUUAGAUAUAAUUACAUAUUAUUGUUAGAUAAUAAUAAUUAAAUAGAAUUGUAUUAUUUUGUUUGAAACAAAAUUAAAAUACAAUAAUUAAUUAUACAUCUUAAGUAAGUUGUUUUAGGAUUACAUUAGCUAGUUAUUAAACUAAUGUAAAAGGAAUUAACUACGCAAUGAGAUAUGAUGAGGUUCCUUGUUGUCUUGGUUGGUGAUUUGAAAAAGAGCUACAUAUGACUAGACAACAACAAAUUUACCCUAAUCACAUUCAGUGUGUCCUUUAGGGGUUGAGCUCUGUUAGACACUAGUAAAAAAAGGGCGUUCAACCUUGGACAAUAGGCAUCGAGUUAGCUAAAACCGAUGCAUAUAAACUUAUUACCUCGGGCCAAGAAGAAACCGAUGCAUAAUAUCCUCUAAAAAGCUGAUUUUUGGCCUGUCACUAGCUUUACUGACUCGGUUCACUGCAGAACCGGAGCAUAUAAUCGUUAUUACCUCGGUUAAAGGUGUAACCGAAGCAUAUAGGCUGUCAACAUCACCUUUUUCACUGUCAUCUGAGUUGCCUAUGAAGACUACAACGCAUCCUACGACAUCGAUUGCUGCAGAACCAUUAUGGAAAAGCUUUUAUGCUUCGGGUGGUAGAGAACUGGUGUGGAAAAGCUCAGCAUAUGCAUCGGGUAAACCAACAACCGAGGCGUAUACAUGUAUUUGGCAUCGGUUAACUAGAGGACGGGUGUAAUAACUCUUGACUUAUUUAAAUUUUUUUGCCCUUCACGUUCAUUUGUCCACUUCAUUACGCGCUCUCUUUCUUCUGCCCUCUGUUUUCUUCUACUUCGUCGCUCCCUUUAAUCGUUGCCUCCAACCAUUGUCGUUGAACCACCGUUGUUGAACCACCGUUGUUGCCUUCAUUGAGAAGUCCACAAAGCUGCCUCAGCCUGUUGGACUGUCACAGAACCAUCAUUGUUGCACUGCCCCUCUGCACUGCCCCUCUGCACUGCCCUCCCUGCUCCACACCAAUUAUUGCAUCGUUCCUCCCUGCUCUGUUGCAUCACUGGUUUGGCGCCUUCCUCUCUUCCACGUCGUGGUCUUCUUCUUCCUUUCCUCCCUUGCCACUGUUCUUCCUCAGUCAUUUCCCACUUCUAGUGACUCCCUCGCCGACCCUCCCCCUCCGCAGUCGUCACCGUUCUCGCCCUGCCUCCAUUUCUUCUCCUUCUCCCUUGUCGUGCCUCUGCCUGUUUCUCUCGCCCAUUGUUCUGGUUUUUGUUUGUCUUUAGUAAAGAUGAGAACUUUAUGGUUUAAUUUUGCACAUGGUGAAGCUCUUCAAGGUGCUGCACGGAGGCGCGUCGGCUUUGGUGGCAGAGGCUCUUGCGAGCAUAGGCGCGUCAGAAUAUGCCGCAAGGUGAUGCAGUACCCCAUUACUGUCACAACUUCUGCAAAGCCUGUUUGGAGGGUGCCUUUGCCGGAAAAAGUUUGAUGAGGGAAAGGUCACAUGAAGGUGGAUUAAUAGGGAAAUGAUGACUUUGAUAGAAUCAUGGGAAAGAAGCCUGAAGAAGAAAACCCUGAGGAGUCAAAUGAAAAUGAUGAUAAUGAUGAAAGUCUGGAUGAUGCAGCCGAGGUUUCAAAACCUGAAAAAAAAAACAUGCUAUUGCCUCGGUUAUCUAAGAAUUGAGGCCUAAUCCUUUCUCGUUUUAAAUCGGUUCGUGACCGAGGCAUAAAGCCUACCUUUUUUUACCUCGCCCGUAUAUGCCUCGGUUGUAGAACCGAUGCCUAUAAGUAAAAGCAACUGGCGUUUUUUUUCCCUUACUGCACUAGUGAGAGCAAGAUAACUGUUGGGUAAAGCAUGUGACAUAUGUAGAGUUUCUAGGGUUCGAUUCAGUACAAACCCACAUUUCGAAAGUAGAUUCAUCUUUCAUGCAUAUUUAUACAUCCUUAUAUGUAUAUAUAGACAUGAUUUGGUUGUGAGGACAAGACAAACUCAUCUAAUAGAAACCAUGGUCUUGGUUUUGAAGUUUAACUAAAUAACACGAAAUGAAGAAGUCCUCGUGUAUGGAAAGCUAACCUCAACUAGAAAAAAACUUAGCGAACCAAAAAGGUUAAAACAUCUAGAUUAAGAAAAUGGAAAACCUUAAGAUAAAGAACACUAAGUUAGAAACACUCAAACACUAGGUUAGAAAAACCUUAAGUCACAAAACCCCAAACCUAACUUAAGAAACCAACCUUUAGUCAAACACCAUAAUAGAAAAAAACUCCAAGUUAAAAGACAAAUCUUAAGAAAGAAAACAAUCAUCAAACACUAAAAGAACAUCCUAGAAAACCAACCCUAAGCUAAUACGAAAACCCUAGAUUAGGAGAAAAGAACACAAUGCCAUGAGAGAAGAAAAAGAAAUGAAACUACAACUGCUCAGGAAACAUAAUAAAGAACAAAAGACUUGAGAUAAUAGGAUAAAACUCUAGUUAGAAAAAGAAUAGAACUUUAACCAAAAAGAACACACCCAAAGGCUGUAGGUAAUCAUCUAGGCGAAAGAAUUAAACAACCUAGACUAAGGAACUUAAGAAGGAAAACUUAAGACACAAACCGAAGACAAACAAACUCGGGUUAACAAUCAGGAAAUAACUUAGGGUGAGAACACAAGACUUAGAGCCUAAACCCCAAACAAACACAACCUAGAACUAGAAUCCCCAAACAUAGAAAAAUAUAGGAAAAUACUUAGGUCCUAGGAAAAAAAAAAGCAUAUAGGCCAAAACACUUAGAUGCAUGGCUAAAUGAUGUUAUGCCUAAAGCAUCCAAGAGAGAUUGAAUUAAACGCUUAAUGCUUAUUAUACCUGGAAUAUGUAUUUGGCUUCUCUCGAAAACAAAAUAGGUCGAGACAAUGCCUAUAACAAAAUACAUUAAAAGGGUUAAUUAUUAAAAUAUGUAAUGAAUCUUAAUCAAGCUAAACACUAUCUGUCUAAAAAGUGACAAAAGCUAAAGAAGCGUUUACUUGACUAAACGAUACCAUGAGCUCAACAAGUAUCUUAUCUUUUGAUAAAAUGUAUAUCUACACUUGGUAUCUUCAAAGGAAAAAUCUUAAUUGUAAAAUGCUACCAAAUACUUUGUUGUUCUGAGCAAGCAUUAAACAAAAUUAAAUGCUCAACAUUAAAAAAAAAAAACAACAAAAGUGAUAUCUGAUUAAGAAGGUAAAAGGAAAAACAUUUACAGAAUGUUCUUUCCCUAGGAAGUGCCAUAAAGCCUAUGUAGAUACAAACCUGAAAGAAGUAAAACAUUAAAAGACUCUCAAGCUAAAGUAAUAACAAGAUAGAAGAAAGCACAAGAACCUUAAAUAAAAAGACAAAAAUACUAAAGGUAAAUAAGAUCUACAAUAUAUGUAUUUAUCUUGUGUAUGACAUCACUACAAACAUUCGUUUUAUAAAUGCUAGAAUGAAAGUUAAGAGAAAAGACAAAGAAGAGCGCUUAAUCAGACUAUCAAAAGUUGUGCAAAAAAGAUAAGUCAAGAUCACCUUUGAUAAAAGUUCUGAAAAGCUCAUCUGCUCUGACAAAGACUCCAUCCUGUGACUGACACCUAUACAAAUAUCCAGAAAGGAACCAGUCUCAAGACAAGCUUCGUCAAACGAUCAUAUAGUCAAAUCUCAAGACAAGCAAUGUCACAACGACUAUAUCCUCAAGGUGUAUAAAUAUAAGACAAGAAAAAAAGAAGAAAAAGAGAUGAUGAAGAAGAGAGAGAAUAUGAAUAUAUAAAGAUAUCUCAUCAUCCAUUGAGCGAGGAAAUCUCUUUGAGCUAUCAAUGAUAAUUGACUCCUAUCAGAGAAAAGGAGAAAAAGAAGAGCCCAAGAAAAGAAAGAACUCUCAAGCUUUAUCAGAAUAUCCACUUGAAGAAAGAAGAGAGAGUAAAAGAGAGAAACAUAGAAAGUCUCUCAAAGCUUUAUUGUAAUAUUUUAUUGUGUUUAUCACAUGAAAGAAAGAGAGAAAAGAGAAAAUUAAAGCAUUCCUCUAGUACUUCAAUGUAUUACAUGCUUACUUAUGUAAGGAAAGAAAAAUAGAGAGAUGAGAAAAACACAUGCGAGUGUUUAGAUUGUUUUGUAUUGUAUUCAAAUAUUCUUUAUGAGAAUUAUGGUUGGAAUGACUUGUAAGCAAUUUAUGAUUACAAUUCUGGAGAAAAUCUAAACACUUACAACUUAACUUUGAACGGUUAAGGAAAUCUCAGCAGGUUCCUAAGUACCAGGAGUGGUACGAAUACUCAAGAAAAUCUUGGCAGGUUGCUAAGUACCAGGAGUAGUGUGAAUACUCAAGGAAAUCUCGGUGGGUUGCUGAGUACCAAAAGUGGUGUGAAUACUCAAGGAAAUCUCGACGAGUUACUGAAAACCAAGAGUGGUGCUAAUACUCAACUGAUCUAAGGUAACUAGAGGUUAUUCGUUGAUUAGUGAUACCAGGAGUGGUGAAUAAUACUACACAACCAGAAGUGAGGGAAACUAAACUAGACAGUUUUCUCAAAGGCAUUGAGAGUGUUUAAGGAUACAAGGAGUGCUAAAUAAUAAUAUGCAAUUAGGAGUGAGUUAAACUCAAUUGUACUUCAUUGAAUAUCUAAUGGAACCCUCUAAGUUAACUUAGAAGAGAACUGGACUAGCCUUAAUAGGUGAACCAAUAUAAAAAGUUAUGUAUGUUUUAUUCUAUUGAUAAAUGAUUGUAGUAUACUAACUUCUCCUAUGAUCUCUCUCUUUGAUUUUAUGACAUGCGCUACUUAAGAGUACUGUCUACGUUAGUAAACAAUCUCUAUAUGUCAACGUUUACUAACCAAGUCUACCAACUCAUAAGUGUUACAUCAGGACCAGAAGGCAAGAUGCGAAAAAGCUAGGGGUUACAUAGUAGUAGACGAUACCACAAACAGUGAUGCACAACAAUAAAGGGACUAUUUGUGGGGCAUAAAGUGGGAAUAAUUUUAAGUAUUUUUCAUUAAUAAUAUGAAGUUUGAUGUAUGGUCCAAGUCAAGUUUUUUAAGUACAUUUAUAUUUAUAAUGACCUUUUUGAACAUAACUUCAUAUUUGGGGUUUUAUACCUAAAAAUUGAAUUUGAUGUAAAUGUGAUUCCCCUUAGGUUGAAUUAAAAUGGUUGGUCAGAUUGCUAUGAGGAAUGUAAACAAACAAUAUGAUGUUAAAAACAUUAAAUAGUGUGAUGAUUAAAAGUUGUGUAAGUUCAAAGUAAAACAAGUUAUUAGACAAAAUAGGGUUAGAUGUUGUAUCACAACUUAAUGUAAGAAGAAAUGACUCCACCUAAAUAAUGUUGGGAAUCCAAGUAUAAGUUUAAGUCCCACAAUGGGUAGAAUUGAGAAAGUAGAGCACCAUAUAAAAUUGAAGACCUAUUAACCCAUUACCUUAAGGUUUUGGGUAUAGAGUGGUGUCAAUCCCUUAUGUUGUUAGGUUAAGGUCUCAUUGGUGUUAUGUCUCCCCAAUGAACCCCUUCCAUUGAUAAACCUAACAAGUGGUAUCAGAACCGAUGAUAUGGUCCCUAUAUUGAUGCUUGGGAAUGCUUCUGUUAGAGGGGGAGUGUACCAAUGUGGAAGAGACUCUCCCUUGAGGGGGAGGUUGUUAGGAAUCCAAGUGUAAGUCUAAGUCUUACAUGAUGAAGACCCAUUAAUUCAUUGCCUUAAGGUUUUGGGUUGAGAAUGGUGUUAAUCUCUUAUGUGGUUGGGAUUAAGUCUCAUUGGUGUUAUGUCUUCCCAAUGAACCAACGCCCUGGAUAAACCUAACAGAUAAUACAAUGGGUAUGGUUUACCUAUAUAAAUGCAAAAAUCAAACUUGUAUAAUAUGAUAUACUGAUGGUGAACUCCUUAGACGCUUUGAAAAUGCUUAAAGUUUAGCAACUUGAAAUAACAUAUAUGUGUGAAUAUUGUUGGAGGUUGUGGCACUUGGCUAAGGUUGUUACAUUUAUGGUAUCAAAGUAAUUAUGAGCCUUAGGUUUCCUUUGGGAGGGGUUUGUUGUUUUUCUACUAUGAAUUAUUGGAAUGUGUUCAUUUGUGUUUCUACUGUGUAGUUUUGUAUGUGGAUGAUGUGUUGUUGUUUGUUUAUAGUGGAGGUGGUUUCUAAGUCCUUUAUGUUGAUUGAUAACAGAGUAGCUCGAACAUCUCUUUCAAAAAAAUCAAAAUCCUACUUAUAUAAGUAAGAUUGUAAAUGCUAUAGAAAUGAUGACCAUUUCCUUUCAACAUUAAAGUGUUGUUAAUGGAAGUUGCUCCACACAAAACUUCAUUAGACUAUUAAAUCAAUGAUAGAUGAUGAUUCUAGAAACGAAAGCGAAUUUAAAGAAUGUUUAAAUGUGUUUGAUGAGUGAAUUUGGAGUGUGUUUCUUGGGAGAGGUUCAGCCCAUUCUCAAGGCAAAGGUCUAGAAAAGAAGUCUAGCAAAGAGAAAUUAUCCUAAUGAACCCAAAAACAAGAGAGCUACAAUUUUAAUAGAGUUUCUCUAUAUCAAAUCCGAGUUAUUUUAUAAGGUUGAACACUCUUACUUAUAUGCUUAAGAGCUUACUAGACUCUCUACAAAAGAGACAGAGAAUUUCAAAAAUUCAAAUGUGAAAAAUAAUCCAAAAUAGCCAUGUUUCAACUCUAACUAGUCAAAAUGGCAAUCUCAUGCUUCCCACAUUGCCACAUCAACACAUGAAAAUAAUUUGAAAUAAAAGUCUAAAGGGCAAAACAGGUAUUUCAAAGCUUAUAGAGGGCGUAUAGAAACUAAGGGAAUAUGGUAAGCAAAGCCCAAUUAGUUUCAUCUUUGUUUUCUAUAUGUAGGGGAAUUCUGUGCAAUAAAGAAUUUAAUAAAUUAUUUAAUAGUUUUCGUCAGUGUAAAAUAAUAAAUACAUUGUACAAUUAAAAUUAGGUUUAAUAUCUCAAUAAGUCAUUAUUUUUGUCUAAAAUCUAAAAUAGGUUCCUGAUUUUUUUAGGGUCUCGAUUAGGACCUUAUUUUUGUUAAAUUGAUAAAAAUAAAUCCUUUCCGUCAAAUUUAACAAACGAUGUUAAUGAGUAUGUAGCUUGGUAUGGUGACAACCUAAUUUUAAUACACGUGUCAUUAAAAACGAGUAUGAUUUCUUUUUUUAAUUAAUGAAAGGGCAUAGUUGUAAAAUCUUAUUUUAGUUGGAAAGCCCUUCUCUGCAGUUGCAAAUGGAAAUGAAAUUGGGUUUUUAGGAUUUGACAACAUUGCCUCCAUCCUCGCUGCCCAGCACCGCUGGUAACUCCAGUACCUCCGCUAGCCCGACCACUUCUACUUCAAUGACCUCAAAACUAGCAUCCUCCAAUCGCGAACCUUAAUUAAGGACCUCGUCAAUGCAGACCAUGUCGAUGAGAUCUCCAUUAUCAACAACGCCAUCAUUGAUGCCGCCAUCGUCCUCCAGCACACCGCAUGGAACUUCCGCGAAGGAAGAUUCCAGAAAGGUGAUGUCGUCCUCAUGCUUCACUACGCUUACGGUGCCAUCAAGAAAUCCAUGGAAGCGUACGUCACUCGCGCCGAAAGCAAUCUUGUUGAGGUUCCCUUCCCUUUUCCUGUUAACUCCAACGACGAGAUCGUUUCUGAGUUUAGGAAGGCCUUGGAGAGAGGAAAAAGUAACGGAAAUAGGGUUAGAUUAACGGUGAUUGAUCACGUGACUUCCAUGUUGUGUGUGGUUAUUCCUGUCAAGGAGUUGAUUCAAAUUUGCAGGGAGGAAGGGGUGGAUCAAGUUUUUGUUGACGCUACUCAUUCCAUUGGAUGCACUGAUGUUGACAUGAAGAAAAUUGAUGCUGAUUUUUACACUAGCAAUUUGCAUUAGUGGUUCUUUUAUCCACCUUCAAUUGCUUCGUAGGAACCCUAAAUUGCGUCGUAGGAACCCUAAAGGUUCUAGUUCCGAUUUACAUCACCCUGUGGUGUCUCAUGAGGGAUGAAUCCUAAAAAUUAAAUUCCUCCAAUUUCAUUUCAUUUCAAUUUCGUUGCAAAGAGAAAGGAGGCAUUCAGCAAAAAGUAAGAUUAGAAAUCCAACUUUGCCCUUUCUUUAAUUAUAGUUUACUUAAUUUUUUAAUUUAAAAUUUAAAAAGUUAGAAUUGAAACACGUAUUUAAUGACACUUAUGUUAAAAUUAUACUGUCAUCCGACAAUUUGACAUACUCAUUAACACUAUUUGAUUAAUUUAACAGAAAAGACUUAUUUGUAUUAAUUUAGCGAAAAUAAGGACCUAAUUGAUACGCCAAAAAAACAAAGGACAUAUAUGAGAUUUUAGACGAAAAUGAGAAUUUAUUGAAACAUUAAACCUUAAAAUUAACUAUAAAAAGAAUUUAAAAUUUCUGUAUUAAAUUAACUAUAAUUAAUAGAAAACACUAAGGAACUAUUAAAAAAUUAUUUAUAUGAAUAAAAUCAUAUUUAAGCGUAAUAGUAUAAUAACAACGAUGAUUAUAUUUGGUUUCUGCUUUAUUUAUAAUCUUGGUCACGAAAGAUAAAGAAAGAACAAACAAAAACACUUUGUACAGCUUAUGAUCCUUCUUUAUGUCUUUUAAAACAAUGAUACUUCUUUCUAGAAAAACCUUUGUGCAAAUGAUAGUUGUAUUUGUGCAGUGACCAGCUGCUGUCAUGCACUUAAAAGUUGUAUGUUUGCACUAAAUUGUGAUUUCAGUGAUGACUAAGGUAAGAUAACUAUAGUAGAUAAAAUUGUUUGUGAUAUAAUCGGGAUUUUAAUUGAUUUCCAUUAGCAUUCCCAGUCCCACAUUAAUUUAUAUUCCUGCUCUAAAUCGAACUUUACUUCUAGCUGUAAUACAGAAGAGCUCAAUUGAUACGCAAUUAUACACUUCGGAUAAAGUUUUGGGAGAAAUGAAAUAAUAGUAUAUACAUUGUUUUAUAUACAACUCUUAAUUCAUACAAUUUCUAAAUCAUGCUGUGUAUUUGUCAUCAGCUAGAGCCAGAAUAUUCAAAGUAUAAAAUACAGUAGCAUCUAAGUUGGAUUCUGAACUAACUUAGGAUGAGAUGCCGCAUAUACAGAGGAAUUCACAUUAGGGUUUAGGUGUGAAAGCAGAUGUUGAAUGUCUGGACGUAAACUCUCUGAUGCCCUUCCAAUGAGGGCCAAAACAUCUGGUCGUGGUUUGCUGCUAGCCUGCACAGGCCCUCCCUGUCCCUCAUAGUGGACGACAUGAUGGCUGAAAAUCAAGUGGUAAUGUAGAAGAUCAGGAUUUCAGAACUAGUAAUAAGGUCAUUUUAUAAAAAUUCAGUAACACUUACAGGAAGUCAAUGAUAUCUGCUAUGUCUGAUGCAUCAACAGCAAUCGUUGUCUGGGAAUUUUUUCCAAAUACAUCCACUAAUAUACUUAGUAAUGAUGAGAGAGUCUGUCAUUUUCAAGUGAGGAAAACCAUCAAUACCCCAAUUUUAGUGACCACCAGUAUCAAAGAUCCGAUAUACCAUAAAAAAUAUGGUAAAAAAACCAUGAGAUAUGUGUAUAUGAUAAAAUCCUAAUAGUAUAUCUAUAAUGAGGUUGUUAUGGUUUAAAUAAUUUUGGUCAAGAAAGUAUGCUCUCACAGAAAAAGAAAUCAGCAAGGGCUAAACUGUGACAUUGGUUGAGCUUCAGCACCUCUAGUCAUUGAUAUGUGAGUAGACAAAUUCUGAUUAUAUCCUACUGCAAAAAUUUCAAUGCCUCAAAUAGAAAAAUUUUAUUACUUAUAUAAUUUGGAUGCUCAUUAUUCAUGAAUUGUCCAGGAACUAGAAACUUAUCGAAAAAUUGGGACAAUAUUAACCCACCUUGAAACACAAAUUGGAAAGAUCUUAAUUCUGGAAGACUACGAUGUCAAGAAACAAUAAGACAGAAGUCAACUCACAGGGAUGCCAAAGUUAUUUAUCAUGAGAUCGAGACCUUGUAACUAUCAGUGAAAACUCUUUGAAAAUCUAAUUUUAUAAUUUUCAGACAGAAGUUUCUGAUCUCACAAAGUGAUAAUAAUAUCAGCGGAUACCAGAAGAGAUAUGGAGCAUAGGCUAGCAAUUAUCCAUUGCAGGUGUUUGUUUAUAGUAUCUGUGACUCAUAAUAAAGAAUCCUCCCUGAGCCGGAAAAUAAAAAACCCUGCCUGAGCAUGGAGAAUUAGGAUUCUACAAUACUAGGGUGAGAGAGUUCUUUUGUGAAAGGAUUUCAUUAAUACAGAGCAACAUCUUGAAUAAAAUUUCAUUUCUCUUCAUAAGUAAUCUAGUUCUAUCAGAAUAUUUUCUCAAGAUAGUGGAAUUGUUGAUUUCCUGUACCUUGUUGAAAAGUGCAUGAGCAUUGGCAAGUUUUGGAAGGAGUGGCCCCAUUAUACGGAAUGCUAUUCUCAACAGGGCGACUGAUGUUACAGGCCGAAGCUGCUUGAUAAUGACAUUGGUCCCUUCAAGCCAUUCUUGAGGGAGGUUACUGAAGAAAGAAUGAAGCAAGGCCACCACAUUCCCUGUGAUUACACAAAAGGUCAGAGUCCUUAUAAGGCACAAACAAUAACAAGAAAUAGAUUGAAAUUCACCUAAUUAAAAUGGAAGCAGUAAACUACAUACCACUGAGCUUUAUUCAAAGAAAAAAUGUCAGCAAGACACCCUCUUAAACACAUAUUUUAAUAAAUUUGAUGGGAAAUCCUGAAAUUGAGUGGGCUCGGUUCCCCAUCAGGUCUCAUGAUCUCACAAUUCCCUACGGAUCUUGGUAAGGGUGUGUUAGAAAGUACAUUGCUAGCUAGCACUCGAGAUAAAGGUAAUGUACACUUUAAAUUCUAUAGAAAUCCUAGAUAAUAGGGUGGUACCAAAACCUAGUAAUUGUUAAAAUAGUUGUUUAUUAUUUGUUGUACAGCUCUUAAAAAGCUUUUUAAUGUCCCUUGCUAAAAGGCUAAGAGUCACGCGGCUAUGUCCUCACUUUUCAUAUACACACAAACACACUUUUGUGUAUAUUGAUAUAUACAUAUAAUACAUCAGCCGCGAAAAUACUAAAUGAUUUUUGGUUAUCCUUUAAUUCCAAAUAUAAUCAUCUACAAACAAAAGAUUAAAGAAAUCUGUUCAGAAACAAUAAAGAAAAUUUUAAAACCUAUUUCAGUCCAUAUUCUAGAACAAAAGAUUAAAGUAAUCUCAAGUCAAUGAAAUAAAUUUCUGAGAAAUAUCUUCUAGAACUUCUACCCAGUUGGUUUGGUCACACUUCAUACAUAAAUUAUUUUACCCUGAUUUGAGUUAAACGAUAUCUCUAUGCAUAAGAUUUUGAGUGGCAUAAACUUCAACAUGCAAAACUAUAGCUUAACCUUGCUGCAUAAAGCACAUCCAUUUUGUUGGAUACAAAUCAUCAAUAUUUCAGAUAAGAAAAUAUCUCACACAAGUCACACUUUUUAAUAUUAAAGACAGAUUGAUGACAUAGAACUAAAAAUAUAAUGCAAAAUUUAAGAAAGCCGCUUAGUAGAAUAAAACCCUUCUGCCAAACCUUACCAAUUGCUGUAGAGGUAUUGUCCUGUGCAGCCCAUGUUGGAUCUAACAAUGCAUAGCCAACUGCAGAAUCUAUUUCCCCAAGCGACCUUGUCCCAUCCUUAAGCCACCAGUUCUCUUUUAUAAUACGUGUCGUUUCCAAAUAAAGUUGUGAAUGAAAAUCAGAGGGAAGCUGAGCCAGUAGAAGGCCACAAGCUUGAAUUAACAAACAAGAUAGUUGUUGACAUGUAUAACCACUUCGAGAAGCAAAGUUAGAGGUAUUUAUUCCAGAAACUGAAGGA
rnacentral:lncRNA from 1 species